rnacentral:lncRNA from 1 species
CCAACAAAUCAAGAUUUGCACGCUUUAAACCAAACCAAAACUACUGUGAAAAUUUGAAGGAAAAAUAAUUAAAAUUUGAGCCUCAGUGUGUGUAACAAUCAGAUCAUUCACCCUAAGGUCUCACUGAAAUCCGCUAAGAUAUUUAAAAAUUAUCAUCAUAAGCUCCAUACUGCCAUAUAAACCCUACCAAACAAGAACAAUUUUACAGCAAAAAAAAAGCCAAUAAAUUUGAGAAAUUUUUUAUGGGUUUUGCAAAACUACAGAUUGGAAGAUAAUAGAAAACAGAUUAAGAGUGCUCAGACAGCCAAGGGUUUGUAAUCAAACUUUUGGGAGAAGAACCCAGAUCAUAAACUCUAGUCCAUAUGCAUAUCAAGAAAUUCUUCUCAUCAAUAUCAUCUAAUGCAUAACAUAUGAAGGCAAUCAAUACUCAUAUUUCAUAAUAUCUAGCAAUAGAUUCAUGACAUUCAUACAGACCCAUUGCAAACUGAUUGUAUCAAUAGGAUAUACUUACAUCUGGGGGUGUGGCUUUCAACGAACAAAAAUGAGAUUUUGGGAUAAUAAGAGAAUGCCUGCGAACAAGUAUGGAAUGAAACAAGGACUUUUCAAUGUUAUCCAAUAAUAUGAGAGAGAGAGAGAGAGAGAGAGAGAGAGAGAGAGAGAGAGAGAGAGAGAGAGAGAGAGAGGCAAUAAUCUACCCAAAAAAAUGAUGCUUUACGGAAAGUUUGAUGUUUGGUUCAAAUUAAAGAAGACGUACCAACAAACAAUCGUGACCAUUAAAUCAAAGAAGGGAAAAACUAUAUAUAUAAAGUAAGAUUCCUCUGAAGCAAGAGAGAAUAAAAAAGGGGAAAUAGACAUUGGACAAGGUCACAUGGAUCUUUAUAGGUGAAUUGCGUUGCUGGGCACAGAAAACUAGGGGGACAUUUUCCCCCGUCUACAAAAAUUUGGUGCCGCAGCCCAAUCAUAUAGAGUGGCUCAGCCCCUCUCUCCUAAGAUUUCAACGUUAAUUUUGAACUUAAAAGUGCUUUUGUUGUUUCCCCAAAUUUUGUAAAAAAAAAGUGCUUUUGUUAAUUGGCUUGCUUUAGUUGAGCCAGUGCAUGCAAUUAUAAAAAGGUGAUUGAAUGAAUUGGUAAGGUGACCUCACCAUUACCCGCUAAUUGGGAAAAAAAAGAAGAAAAAAAAAGAGAGAAGCUUUUGGUUAAAUCAAAGGUCUCUUUUGAUUAAUUUUGUGUUUGCUGCUUUGACAAAAGGGCUUUUGUUUCGGUUACUUGAGAUGGUAAAGGUAUAUCAAACAAUGACAGAAUUAGUUUUACUCACAUCCAAAUCCACAUCAUUAAGGCUUUCGAUAAUCUUUUCUUAUUAUAAUAUAGUUAGGUCAAUGAGGGCCUCUAAUCUUUUCUUUAUUGUGGUUCUAUUUUUGUCAAUGAUGAUUACUGUGGCCAUCUCUUGCCUAAAACGCAUCCAAAAAGGAGACGUGGGAUUAAAGGAUCGUUAUCUUUCCUCGUGAAUGGCGUUUGCUUAUUUGCUACUUAAUGGUUUAUUAAGUUAAACAGAACAUGAAAUAAAACACUUGAAGCAUGCACCGAAGUCACAUGUGUUACAUUAUCCAUAACAUUUUGAUCCGAUUCCGAUGGCUUCGUAUUAUACGAAGAUAUUGUAGCUGAAUACUUGUCUUGAUAAUAUAAGCCUAAUAUGCAUGUUCUUUGACAACAUAAUAUGUUAGAUACUUUAGAUAUAUUUUAGAUAAACCAUGUAUUAUGUGUUCUUAUUCAAAUUUACAGCUCACAUCAUACUCAUCAUUUACCGUUGAAAUCACCCACAUGUGGGUGGAUUGUAAAUUUGAUUCUUUAAAAGGGGAGCUUUAUAAUUACAACCUGAAAAGAAAAUUAAGAAGAGCUUUGAGAGUAUGUACUGCUGUUGGUCUUUGACUUCUGUUCUCCUACUACUGUUGCUUCGCUUUGUUUAAUUACAUAAUAAAUACUUAUACCGCAUCAUGAAUAACAGCAUAUGAUUGAUGAUAGGGAAGUUUAGGUUAAAAAUAAUAAUGGAUGGUGGAUCCGAGGCAGAAUUUUUUUUUCUUUAUUUGUUCUGCUAGCUAGGGCAGAAAUUUUUUCAAAAGAAAAAGUGAGAUACAAGACUUUAAUUGAGACACGACUGUCCAUGGCAGAAUAGACCAUGGUUACAAGCCAAAAGCCAAAAGUAUGACUAAAGAACUUUAAGUUUUGUUAUCUUUAUGAUGCUAAUGACCAGUUUUGCUAAAAGAAAUGGAAGAGAGAGAGAGAGAGAGAGAGAGGAAAAGGAGAAAAGAAAGAAAGUGAAAAAGCAUAUCAUCAUGAGGAAUCUCAAGGUGAGUGUGUGUGUGGAGAUAAGAGUGAAAUGGAAGUAAAUGCAGAAUUGAAAUGAAGGCAAUGGAGCUUUCGAAGAGAAAUCCAUUCCUGUCCACAACAUGUCUUCACUGAUAGUGCUCAAAUGGUCCUUUCAUUUUCCAAAAGUGAUGAGGACUCGUACAGGAGCUUUCGGACCCCCCACCUUCUGAUCAGUCUCACCCUUUUAAAAGUGAUGAGGACUCGUACAGGAGCUUUUGCGGCUUGUGUGUCUUUUCAUUGAUUACCUUCUUUUCAAAAUGAUGCGAAAUUUUGACUUCAUGGCCAACAAGGAAUGGUGCAUGCCUACAUUCCUAAUCCUAACACAAGUGUGGGAAUUGGAAUCCUAGAUAUAUAGGUUUGAUCUUUACUUGCUCAUUGGGAAAGAACUAAAAAAAACCUUAACAAUUGAUCAAAUUGCCAAAGGGUUGUUGAAUGGAGGGCCAAGUAUGCUUGGAUUUUCUGAUCAUAAAAUGAAUUUGAUCGGGGGAUUAUAGAUAAUUUACUAAUAUACAACUCACCAGUAAACAAAGGGUUGUUCAUUUCUUUUAAUUAAAGAAAAAUGAGAGAUACAAAAACUUGGAAUAGUUCUUUUAAUAUCGGGAAGAGAAAUACUAUUAAACCAGUAAGCGCACAUUUUUUUUUAAUAUAUUUUUUUUAAACCCUACAAACUUCAACAUAUAUAUGUAUAUUUAUCAUGUAUAUAUGUCUUGAAAAGAAGAGCUUUAAUAUAGUUUGUAGCCCAUAAACAAGGGUUUUUGAAGAUAAUGCUACAAAACACUUUUCCCUCUCAAAUUCAAAUGACCUUAUCAAAUUCCGGGCAAUGAAUACAUGGUUGAAUUUUAUAUGCAAGAUGUGUGGGAAAUGAAUAAAAAAUUGAGAGCAAUGAUUCAAGAUCGCCCUGUUUUAAUAAAAAGAGACACACACUUUCAUCAUCCGUUUAUAUAUAUAUAUAGGAUAUAGAUUGACAUUAUGAUGAUCACAUGCCAAAACCUAACAGUCUUUUAUUUUUAUUUUUGUCAAAGUGGUCCAUGAAAAGAUCCCAAGCUCAAAUGCAUACAUAAUAUAAAUGGUGCCAAUUUUUUUUUAGAACAGUCUUCUUGUUACGUUGUGGACCAUUUGGAACUAUACUUUGUUGGGGGAUUUAUGCACUUGUCCUUAGCUCGUUUUUGGGACACCCAAAAAAUAUUGCUAAUUCAUUUCUCAUGAGUGCAAAAAUUGUGCGAUCGAUAUGGAGGGAGGGCAAUGUGCUUCCUCAUGUUUUAUUUUAGUCUUUUCUUGGUGGAAUUGUGAUUCUCAUGUUUAUGCAUGUGGCAGUGCCAAAAAAAAAACAAAAGAAAAAAAAACCCUACAUGUAUUUGAAACUUUUUUUUUUCAAUUUGGAUAAGUUGAUGCUUGUGAAUUGUGGUGUAAUAAAACUCAACCAUUUGGGACGAUAUAUGGAGCAGGAGAACCUUCUCUGACUUUGAUAGCUUUGGUGGUGUCUGCUACAGAGACAGAGAGACAGAGAGACAGAAGAGACAGAGAAGGCCACCGAGCAGUCAGUGCUGCUAAUAGAGAAGGGAAAAAGAGAUUACUUUAAAAAGAAGAUAAACAAAGAGGCUGCGAUCACCAUAUUUAUAUAAAUGAAUAUUAAUAUAUGUUUUAUUUAUUUAUUUAUUAUAUAAUCGAUAAAACGAGGAAACACGCAGCUCCAGACCCAGAAAUUCCAUAUUAAACGCAGCAUGGGUUUUGAGUUUGCGGGUUUUGUCUGUGUUAUAACGGCAAAGCCUUGAUGUUACCUGGCUCUAUUUUACAUCAGAGAAUUCAAUACAAUUUUGUGGUCUCUAUUUGAUCCACAAUUAAUUUUCAAUGUGUAUUUUGACAAGUUGGCAAAUGGGGUUAGCCUAAUAAAAAAGAGUGUUGAUUUGUAUGCAUGUGGUCUUAAGUUCUGGUACUCAUUGUAUAUUAACAGUGUGUGUGAGAAAGAACAAGGUGUAGUUAUUAGUCCGAUAACUUCUCUUCCCAACAUUAAAAUAUGCUCGAAGUUUGAAUCUUCCUAGUUACUAAUAAAUGUUAAAAAAAGCACAAAAUAUGCAUGUAGUCUCUCUUUUAUUUUAUGAUCCACCAUAUUUUCUCAGCCCCCAACCCUACUUGCCUUGUAUUUAUUUUAUUUUCUUCCCUAAAUUUGGCUUUAUAAAAAUGAGAAAGACCCAUAGCCAUAGCCAAACGAAUUAAUACGCAGGACAUGUUCUAACGUGCCCGUCACGGUCAAUCACUGUCAAAUUAGAAACCAAAGCGUGCGGGCUCGAACUGUGAAGAAUGCUUUAAGAGUCCAACACGUGGUGGUGAGGCGUCUGUGGGCCGUCACAUCGAGUUUCAUCUUAUGUGGGCCUCCCGAUAUGGCCCAAGCCCAUUAUCAUAUUCGGCUAACGACGCAAAUGCACCAUCAAAUUCCAAACCUUGUCGUUUUGGGGAGUUGGAAAAUGACAACAUGUCUCGUGGCCCUGGGUCUUUCAUAAUGUAGGCGGACUAUGGAGGGCUUUGAUUACGUACCUCAGAAGCCCUGCAGUACCCAAUAUGCCCCGCUGUGACCACUUAAUGUCAUUCUUCUAUUGUCUUUCUUUGAAUUUUGCGUACUUAAACUUAAUUUAUUUUAGUACAAGUUUAGUCUAAAUUACAGAGAAGAUGGGUUAUUCUUUUUUUCUCACACACGCACAACUAAAAUGUCAUGAGAAGAUGGCCAGAUUUCCAAUUGGUAACUCAAAUUAACUGAGAAGACGGCCUAGACAAAACUAGGAGACUUGGAUUAAAGCAGAGGACGCUCUUGCUUUCAGACUAGAAGAAAAGUUCAGCAGGCAGAUGUGAGCAUAUAUGAUGUGGUGAACCUUGUUUUGAAGUUGAUGCUCGGAAUAUACCCUAUCAUUUUCUUGGGGUUUGUCUUAUAGACUUGUACAAACAGUUUCUCAAAAAAAACAAGGAAAGAAAAGAAAAGAGCUAGAGUUUCUUGCAUGGUUGAAACACAUCCAAUCCAAGCCCAAGUCCUUAGCUUUUCAUGCACAGAAAGUACAACCUUAGGUUUUAGCCCAAUUAUGUUUUAGCCGAAUAUCAGGAGCAGCUUGCAACCUUAGGGUUAGCCGUGUGUGAACGCAUGAUUCAUUUACGGUCGUUGAUGAUUUAAACAUGUAGAAUGCUUAUGGUUAGUCGUGUGUGAACAUAUGAUUGAUUCAUAGUAAAUUUAGGUUUUACCCAUAAAAAAACUUUCACUUUUGGAAAAAGCCAAAGCUUUUUAAAAAAAGACAAAAUAACCUCUCAACUUUCAAACCAAAGACAUGCAAAUGUAAAGGAUUUCUUAGGAAAUCAAAAAAUAAAUAAGGGCAAUUUUGUCCAUUUUUGCUUGUUUUAAAAAUUUUCUCUCUCCUUUGGGCUUUUCCUAAGUCCCCCUUGAUUCAUAGCCGUUGAUCUAUAAUAUAUAGACCUUAUUUUAAAAAAUAGUUGUAUAAAAUGCAAGCCAGGUUGUUUCCUGGGCUUUUGUAUUCGGAUCAAGCCCAUCCAAACCUUUUCAUUGUGCUGUAUCAAAAGUCGUCCACCUGCAGGUGAGUGAUUCUUAACCGUAUAUGCAUAUAAGGUCUAUAUAUUAUAGAUCAACGUCUAUGAAUCAAUCAGGUCUAAUUUUUUUUUUUUAAAAUAGUAUAGUCGUGUGGCUAUACUCAUUUUGACACGUGGUACCUUAUCGCUAGGCCGUGCCUUUUUUUUUUAAGUGUCACUAUUUCCACCCACUUGUCAUAUUUUUUGACCCACUUUAUCUCCCUACCUCCUACCAUAUAAAUUUGAAAAAAAUACAAUCUUAUCUAUCCACCCACCAUUAUUCAUAAAAUUAAGAAUCAAUUCCAUAUUUUUGCCUGUUUUUAUGUUUAGGUGUAGUAAAAUAUUCAUAAAAUUUAUAAAACUCUUUAUUUUUUAAAACAAAAACCCACCCGCCCCAAGCAGCCACCCCUUCCCCGACCCCAAUCCCUAGCCCCACCCCACUGCCCAGAUUCAUUCCCAAAAACCAAAGCCCCGACACCACCGCCUCCGCGUCCAUCACUGACGAAGAAUUGUAGGCUUUGCGAGAAGCGAAUCGGCGACUGAGAAACUCGCUGGAGCAUAAUCUCAAGCUCCUCGAAAACCUAUAUGGAUCUGCUUCUUUGCUGAACGAUUGCCUUCCCGAUGUAAGCAAAUUUUGGGUCGAUGCCCUUCUGAUCAAUUUGUGUACAAUUUCAAAUUUUUAUGUAAAAACUGAAAUGGGUAUAUUUUUUUUUUGGGUAGUCAUAUUCAGUUGUUUGCUCGUUUAAUAGCUACUGGGUUGUCAUAUUCAAUUUUGCUCGUUUGCUCGUUUGCUCGUUUAAUAGCUUCCGAUCAAUUUCUUAUGUUUUUUAAUUGGUUUUAAUGUUUCUCCCUGGUCUGGCGGGUUUUCUUAUAAAUAGUAUAGCCGGGCGGCCAUAUUCGGUUUUAUGAUUUUUUUAAAAUAUAGUAUAGCCGGGCGGCUAUACGCGAUGAUUCUAAAAAUAUUAUAGCCGCGCGGCUAUACUUAUUCUGACACUUGGCGCAUAAACGAAUAUCGGAGCAAAAAAUUUAAAAGAAAAAAAGAUCCCAGUAUAUAUAAAAAGUAUAGUCGCGCGGCUAUACUAUUUUUAAGACAUAUUAAUAAAACCUAGUAUAGCCGCCCGGCUAUACCACUUUUUAUUUUAAAAAGCAAAAAAGGGGUAUAGCCGCCCGGCUAUACUAUUUUAAAAAAAAUUAAAAAACCGAGUACAACCAAUCGGCUAUACUCCCGGCUAGAGAUAAGGUGCCACGUGUCGCACGGCUAUAUCAUUUAUAUAAAAAAAUAGACCUGAUUGAUUUAUAGCCGUUCAUCUAUAAUAUACAGACCUUAUAUACAGUUAAGAAUCACUCACUUGCAGGUGGACGACUUUUGAUACAGCACGACGAAAAGGUUUGGAUGGGCUUGAUCCGAAUAUAAAAGCCCAUGUAACGACCUGGCCGGCAUUUUAUACAACUUAUGAUGUUUAUACAUGUAACCUUAUACGGAUACUUGUGGCCAUAAUCAGGAGUCAAGCUAGGCCCCUCGCAGAUCAAAGUUGAAGAGGGGAAUUAACGGAUAAAAAGGGGAGAGCGAGAGAGCAGAAAGCCAGAACAGAAGCGGAAGAAGCCGAACUGUUGUAUAAAAGAGUGAGAGAAUGGUAAGCGCAAGCGCAAUGCGUGCUGUGCAACCCACAAUCCUCUCUACUUUUGUGGGUAACCGCUUGCUUCAGUCAGCGCAGCCUCUUCACCAACUCUUCAGCUACAACCCAGGUCCUUGCUCCUUCACUUUUAUUCUUUAUUUUAUUUUUCAGUCUUGGUUUCUGAAGUUAAAACGUUUAUGAUUCAGCUUUGGUUUCAAUUCUAUGUGUUCUAUUUGAAUGGGCUUAUAGUCAAAGGAAGGGUGCAAUAGUAUGCUUGCUAGUGUUUAUACUUGUAUGAAAUGGGGUGUUAUAGUUUGUAGCUAGCAUAGCUUAUUGGUUUUGUGAGACUGCUUUUAUAGCUGUAUCAACUAGAUACAAUUUCCCUAAUGCUUUGUGUUUCUGAUAUUAUGACUUGAACUGAAAAAUUGGUCUUUGGUACCAAGAGAACGAAACUUUAAUGCCUAAUUGAGCUCUUUUCUUGAAGAUACAAACUUUUUUCCCGUUGGAUGUCACUACCCUUUCUCUGUCUCCCCAACUAAAGUCCCAUUCUUCAGUUGCCAAAUCUAAAUUCCCGACAAAUUCUCUUUUCUCAGUCCCAGUUGCCACUGACCUUGACUACGCUAAAAUCCCAAAGGAGAUGAGAGUAUGGCGCGCUCAUCGAGCAAUCUCAAUCUUGUCCACAACCAAUAGCAAAGCCCCUUCUCCUUCUGAACUCGGUGUUUACCUACAACUAUGCAGCAAUUCGAAGUCUCUAAAUCAAGGAAAGCAUGUUCAUCAAAAGAUAAUCCAAUGUGGGUUGGAUCAAAACCCAUUCAUAGUCACCAAAUUAGUCCAAAUGUAUGCUGAUUGUGAUGAUUUGGUGUCUUCCUGGAAGUUGUUUGACAACUUGUUAAAACCAAAUGUCUUUGCUUGGACCGCGAUCCUGGGAUUCUAUUCGAGGCACGGAAUGCAUGAAGAAUGUGUGAGAGCAUAUGUUGAAAUGAUUUUGAAUGAUGUUUUGCCUGAUGGGUAUGUGUUUCCUAAGGUCUUAAGGGCAUGUGCACAGUUGUUGCGCUUGAAAGUGGGAAUUGUGGUUCACAAAGAUGUGAUAAUAUGUGGGUUGAACCUUAAUCUUCAAGUUUGCAAUUCAUUGAUAGAUAUGUAUUCAAAAUGUGAGGAUAUUGGGAGUGCUAAAAGGGUUUUUGAUGAGAUGGUGGGAAGAGAUUUGUGGUCAUGGAAUUCAAUGAUCUCAGGAUACGUGUGUAAUGGGUUGCUUGGAUUGGCAGUAGAACUAUUUGAUUGUAUGAAUUUGGGUGGUUGUGAGCCUGAUAUUGUCACUUUGAAUACAGUAAUGGAUGCUUAUUGCCGAAUGGGGCACUGUAACGAGGCUACGAGAAUCUUUGAACAGAUUAAGGAGCCUAAUAUCAUUUCAUGGACCACCUUGAUAUCAGGAUAUUCAAGGAUUGGGAGUCAUGAAGCAUCCUUGAGGAUUUUCAGGGAUAUGAUAGGAAGCAGCAUGGUUGACCCUGAUUUGGAUUCUCUUUCUACUGUCCUUGUCUCCUGUCGGCAUCUGGGGUCUUUGCUAAAUGGAAAAGAAAUCCACGGUUAUGGGAUAAAAAGGGAAUCUGGCAUUGCAUUUUACCACUCAGCUGGCCCUGCAUUGUUGACAAUGUAUGCCAACUGCCGUAGAAUUCAUGAUGCUACAAAUGUAUUUAAAUUAAUGAACCCAGCCCAUGUUGUUUCUUGGAAUGCCAUGAUUCUUGGCUUUAUUGAUUUAGGACUGGAAGAUUUGGCACUUGACAGUUUCAGAAGAAUGCAAAGAGCACGCAUCAACGUUGACCAAACGACAAUAUCCACUAUCUUGCCAGCGUGCAAUUUGAAAUUUGGAAAACAAAUUCAUGCCUUCAUUAGGAAAAUUAGUUUUGAUUUGGUUGUUCCGGUGUGGAAUGCACUGAUCCACAUGUACUCUAAAUGUGGAUGCAUUGGGUCUGCAUACUCUGUAUUUUCCAACAUGAUCAAUAGGGAUUUAGUGUCAUGGAACUCAAUGAUUGGAGGCUUUGGAAUGCAUGGGCAUGGAAGAGCUGCUCUUCACCUUCUCAAAGAGAUGAAUCAUUCAGGGACUUGCCCCAAUUCUGUAACUUUUACUUCUGUUUUAUCAGCUUGUAGUCACGCAGGUCUUGUGGAUGAGGGCCUUCAAGUCUUUCACAGUAUGAUGAAGGAGUACGGCGUCAUCCCCAGCAUGGAACAUUAUGCUUGCAUUGUUGACAUGCUGGCACGUGAUGGUCAACUUGAGGAUGCAGUUAGUUUUAUUAAUAGGAUGCCUUUGGAGCCUGAUAAGUGUAUUUGGGGAGCUCUGUUGGCUGCAUGCCAAGCCCAUCAAAAUGUUAAUGUUGCAAAGCUUGCUGCUGAACAAUUAGUCCAGUUGCAACCGGGAAAUGCUGGGCAGUAUGUCACCCUGUCAAAUAUAUAUGCAAGAGCUGGAAGAUGGGAUGAAGCUGUACGAGUGAGAAAGAAAAUGGAAGCCCAAGGAUCGGUGAAGCCAUCUGGAAAUAGUUGGUUUGAAUGUGGAAAUGGGACAAAUGAAAUAUCUAAUGAAUAGAAGUAUGGAUACUUUGUGUUCAAAAGCUUUGGAUGAGCUUGGUCCUAAUACCUAAUCCCAUGUGACCGGCCUUCAAUUUGUACAACUAAUUAAUUAGGCAGGAUUUUGCGAAUUCAUUCAGGGCACUUGAGGACAUAAUGAUAAGCCAAGCAAGGCCCAUCCCAGGAACCCAAAAUGCACAAAUAAAAGAAGAGAGAGAGAGAGAGAGAGAGAGAGAGGGGUCAGAAGCCAAACCAUGUAAGAGCGAGAGAAUGGUAAGUGCAAGCGCAUUGUGUGUUGUGCAACCCAAAAUCCUCUCCUCUCUUAUGGGAAACUGCCUCCAUCAGUCAAGCAGCCUGCUCACCAACUCUUCCGUUACAACCCUGGUCCUGGUCCUUCACUUUUGUACUUCUUUAAUUUUUGGUUAUUGAUAAUAAUAUUUCUGAUGCAGCUUCUGUUUCACAUGUUAUGCACAGUUUUUUCUUUUCAUCUGAUUUUGGAUCUUUUCCCUAAGGUUGAAUCAGUUUAGAAGUCAAAUAAUGAAUGCAUGUCGUUGUGAGUUAUUUAUAUUUGCAUGAAAAGGUGUUAUAAUUUUUGGUGAACCGAGCUUAUUGGUAUUUGAGAUUGCUGUACUGUGACAUACCACAUACAAUUACAACCAUGCUUUAUUAUUUCUGAUUGUGUGACUUGAAUGAAACAUAAAAGUUCUUUGAUACCAAAUGAAUGAAACCUUAAUGCCUAACUGAGCCAUUUUCUUGGAAAUGUAAAAGUUGUCCUGUAUAAUACCAAUAGUUUCUAAGAAUCUACAAACCAAAGCCUAGAGUAACAAUUUUAUGAAAUCAACAUUUAAUGGACUUGUUUUUCCUAAUUUUUAAACAUGCGAAUAUAGUGAUGGUCAUUGUUAUUUUCUUGGUUUCAAAUUCUCAUACACAGGAAGCAAGCAUGUUUCGAUGCAGUUAUCCAAAAGAUUUUCUGGCUUGACCAACCUUUUGUUCAAUGGAAGGUAUGGCGUGCAACAUUCUGCGUACUCACAUGUGUUAUAUAGACACAGAGGCACACACAACACGGGCAUAAUAGUAUUAUUUUAUGCACUUUGGGACACUGUUAAAAGUGUAUGAAUAAAUCAUACCAAUUGGCUCCCAAUUUGUAUAAAUGUUGUCUGUAGAAGUUCAAAUGACUACAUAUGAUAUUAUGGUAUUAUUUAUUAGCUUCUAGCUUGUUUGAUCUAAUUCUUGACCUCAUCAUGGCUCUAUUUUUGGGUUUUUAUAUGAUGAUGAGGUUUCUGGACUGGGAUUUUGAAACACUGCAUGAUUUUCAAUUAUGUAAUGCACAUCAUGUAAGAUACAUAUGCAGACACGUCUUUGUAAACUCGUAAGUGAUGGAUAUUUUGUUGAAAUUAGCAGAAAUGCAGAUAAAUUUCUAAACACCAAGCGCAAACGUCUAAGGCCUGGAAAAAUUUCACCACAUCGCCCUGUUCCAGAUCAUAUACCAAUGCCUCCUUAUGUCAAAUCUAAAAAACCGCCUGGGAUUGCAAGUGGACCUGAAGUGCAUGAUGAGAAGGGGAUAGAAUGCAUGAGAGCCUCCGGAAAACUUGCAGCACAUGUUCUAGAAUUUGCUGGGACUUUGGUCAAGGUGACUGUUCUGCUUCUGGCUUGUUUAUCUAUGUUUACACUUUCUCUGUAGAAUGAUUUUUUAGGUCAAUUUUUUUCCCUUAUGUCAGAAGCUUGUGUUUGGCAUUGAAGUAAUUUUUAUUUGUUUUUGCAGCAAAGUAUACAUGGAAAAUAACAAUCGGUUUAGGAACCAUACAGUAUUAAUACACAAUAACAUUCAAAUAGAGCUUUGUAGAAAAGAAUUCGAAUGGCUGAGACCUAUGCUGUCCAAAAAAUGUAGUCUAUUUACACUAAAGGGUAUAAACAACUGCCCUGAAAAAGCGGAUCCUUUACCUGCCUAAACCCUUAAAAAGUGGCUGCCUACUUCAUACAAUUCCAGAAUAAAACUCUCUCUCUCUCUCUCUCUCUCUCUCUCGUGUAGCCCUCAUAUCCUAAUGAAAUAUCGAGGGUUUCUCUGUUAUGCAUGUAGAGUAGAAGUACUUGAUGGGGGAAAGUAUUGAAAAGUGUAUGAUUCUACUGAGAGAAAAGCUGUUAGAUCUGAACUCUGUGUGUGUGUGAGAGAGAGAGAGAGAGAGAUGGAGAGCAUGUGGAUAGGGUAAAGCAUGUGGCCAAUGACGGCUAGGCUGAUAGCAGCGAAGAACAUAGACUACUCUGGUUAAGUGGUUUUAACAUAAGGGGAAGGCUGGUGAGACCAUAGGAAUUGAUAAUAAGACUCGUGUAGGCGAUUAAUGCAGAGAGCGUAUGUGUUGAUUGAAGGCGACAACUUUACUUUGUUAAAUAAUAUUCCCUUAGUGUAAUCAAAAUUACAGUAUAAAAUGAUUUGACAAUGCUUGAAAACCCAAGUUCUUGCCCAGAAAAAAAAAAGGUUCUUUACAGUAGUGAAGAUUCGGCCUGCUUAUUUUCCAGAAGUCCCAGGUCCCCCAAACAAACCAGAAAAAGAAGAAGAAAGGAAAGGUCUUUCUUCAAUUUGCUACUUUCUUAGAGAUUCUAGAGUUGGAUUUAGUAAAACCUAGAUGUUGGAGUGUAAAUCUGUAUGAUAUUUACUGAACUGAUCUUUCCCUUUUUCUUUUGGUCAUUGUCGUUGUCAAGCUACUAGGCUAGUGCAUGAUGCAUUCAAGAUUUUGCAAUCUAUUGUUAGUUUUUGUUGUUAGCUAAUAAGUGAUUGGAGAUAGAUUCUUGAGAUGUAAGAGGUGGGUGUCUUGGUCUGUAUGAAAGUUUUAAUUGGUUGCUUCUAUUGGCAGCCAGGCAUAAAGACAGAUGAAAUUGACCAAGCUGUUCACCAAAUGAUAAUUGAUAAUGGUGCCUACCCGUCACCUCUUGGCUAUGGUGGUUUUCCAAAGAGUGUCUGCACAUCAGUGAACGAAUGUAUUUGCCAUGGAAUACCAGAUUCCCGAGCACUUGAGGUUUCUUUGAUUAAAGUUCUUAGCUACAACAUCGUGUCCUUCUAAGUAAUGAAUUGUUUCAAAUCAAAAUCACAUCUAUUUUUUUUUCUCUUGGCAGGAUGGUGAUAUAAUUAACAUUGAUGUUACGGUCUAUUUAAAUGUAAGUAUGGUUACUUAGAGCAUGCUUAGUUUAAACAAAAUGAAAUGAGAUACACAAUUCAAGACUUGAGGGUUGCCAAGUUCAACCUUUAGUAUAUAUAUCCUUCUGAAUGAUUUGUAAUUUACAGGGAUAUCAUGGUGAUACAUCAGCUACUUUCUUCUGUGGAGAUGUUGAUGAUGAGGGCAGAAAGUUAGUUCAGGUGGCAAUAUCUUUCUUUUAAAUUUUUUGUUCCAUGGGUUUUCCACGUAUUUGGUACUGUAAUAUGAUAAAAGUUCUUCACUGAUAAAGAUUAUUGUUAGAAUUCUAGGGUUUUUCUUUGUAGGCACAGCACAAAGUUCCCAUUAGUUUCACAAGAAUUCAUUUCACUUGAUUAAUUCCACCUAAAAGUUUAUUAGCCUUAUGUAAUGGAACUUUUCCUACCCUGUAUAGCCAAUAUCUUUUUGAAUGCCUGCCAUCAUCUCUUUGAUACAGGUGUACGUCCAAAAGUGUUGUUCACUGGCGGGUUUUCAGAAACUUGAAAAAAUGUUUCAGCUACCCCUGUUCUUGUGCUUUUGGAUUUUCUUUAUUUGUUUGUGUACCUAUAAUUUCAACUUAUUGCAUUGGUAUAGAUGGCCGAAGGUGAAAUUUCAUGAAUCUUGGUAAAUUAUAUCUUCCACUUCCACUUCUUUAGUUAUAGACUUGUAGUGAGGCGAACCUUUCCUGGCUGAAAUUAGUUAAUUGUAUGCCUUUAACUUCUCAAGAUGUUCUUCUGUGAUAGCUAUUCUUACAAGAUUUAUUUUUGAAGUAUUGCCUUAGGUAACUAAAGAAUGCCUUGACAAGGCAAUCUCAAUAUGUGCACCUGGAGUGGAGCUUAAGAAAAUUGGAAAAACGAUCCAGUAAGGCAUCUUCUUCCCCCACCCCCCUAAUUCUGUAGUUCUGUUUUCUUCCUUAUAUGCAGGAUUCUGCAGUGGCAUUGGUGCAAUAAAUUUUUUCUUUUUGUCAAUGUGUCUUAAGGCUGACUUGUCAUAUACAUGCAUGCAUAAGUCACAUAUGGAUGUGAAAAUUCAAUCUUAUUCUAAUAAUCAAUGGUUUUUUGUUUUCCUCAAUAAGAGAGCAUGCAGAUAAAUAUCGUUAUGGUGUUGUUCGACAGUUCGUUGGGCAUGGGGUUGGACGUGUCUUUCAUGCCGAUCCAGUUGUUCUACACUUCAGUAAUAAUUCUGCGCUUUAUGCUGCUCAUGUCUCCAAUAUUCAUUCAUUGUUUGAGCAAGUCAUGCAAAUUAUUUAUUAAAACUUACGGUCUAGAAAUAUUCCUUAGACUAAUUAUAUUGAUGGCUGAAAGUUUAUUACUGAUCAGUAUAGAAAACAUGUGCCAUAAAACGUAAAAGUAAUUAGCUGUGCUGUCGUAAAAUGAUCUACAACCUAUACUUAUCUACUAGCUCAUGAAAGAACCCCUCAUCUUGCUUGGGAGUGAGAAGUUUGUAAUUCAGUAAUAUAAAGCAUUAAUCUGCCUUAUGUUUCGUUCUUGAAGUAUGCAAUAUAUUGCCACUAAUAUGCAUGGAGACACACAUGGGACACACAAUGUGCAUCCAGAAUAUCUGCCAACAGAACAUAUUCCGGUUGAAGUGAUUUUUAUUCCUUGUAGGGAACAAUGAAAGCGGACGCAUGGUGGUAAACCAAACCUUCACAAUAGGUAAUGCAUUUUGAUUAUUCAAACUUACCUUCUCUUUGGAAAAAGUUGUUGCUUAUUUGUGAUUUACUUGUUUCGUAACUGUGUUCAGAACCGAUGCUGACACUAGGCAGCUGUAAUCCCGUAAUGUGGGACGAUAAUUGGACAGUAGUCACAGAAGAUGGAAGCUUGUCAGCACAGUUUGAACAUACCAUUUUAAUAACCGAAGACGGGGCUGAGAUACUAACUCGGUGUUAGUGAUGGUGCUAGACCUUAUACGAUAGAACCUAUAGAUUCCCAAGUUUGGGAAUUAUACUUUAUUGGAGUUGCAUCUUCCAAGUUAAAAAAUUUAUGUUGGAGGUGCACAUAUGUUUUGCUUUUACCAUUAUUUUAGAUGAUUCCUUUAACUGCAUACAUCAUGUUAUUGUUAUUUCUCAUAGUUGUAUCUUAUACAAGGAUAUGGAUUUUCAGUCUUUAAGCAUUGGAUUAUUUCUUUCAUUAAGCUGCUUUUUUUUUUCCUUCCUCUUCCCCCUCCUUUCGGUUCGGACACAAAUUGGUGAAAAUAUUGCACUCAUCUAUCAUAUUAUUAAGGUGGCAAUUCUUCGAUGUCUUGAAUGUGAUAUUUAACUGAUUUAUGCUAAUCAUUACAUGCUAUGGUUGUGGUGGGAAGGAAUUUCUUUCCAACCAUUAAGUUGGUGCUGGUAUUUUUGGAGUAUGGCCAAUGGACGUCUCAUCGUCGGAUGGAGCUUGUUUGCUUUGUCUCGUUGGACUGCAACUAGUUCAAUAGGCAGAACUAAUACAAACGUUAAUUUCAUUGUUUCAGCUCUAGUUUUGUCUUCAGAGUUUUGAAAAUUCUGCACGGCACAGAUUGUAAAGGAUAAAGGUAGGGAAGGUAGGGAAGAGUUCACAACUGUUCUUCAUGGUGUUCAAUUUUGUGAAGUUGUUUGGCCCUACACUAUCAAUCCAUUAAAUUUUUUCUAUUUCUGGUAAAGGUUGUUUUGGCAACGCAAUACUGUUAGACAUACGUACUGUUUUGAACGUGUAAGCAACUACUCCACUGAAAGUGGGAAAUGGUUUGUAUUUGAUUUGCUGAUUUGGGCAAUUGAAGUUUUGAUAUUUACUUGUAGUUUUGGGACCUCAAACUCGGAUUCCCAUAUUUCUGAUGUUUAUUCUCAUGCUGUUGGAUUUAUUAUUAUUAUUAUUAUUAGUAUUAUUAUUCUUUUAUCGACAUUGUCAUUCGUUUAUGAAAUUUAAACUCAUGACAUUCUACAAUAAAGUAGACAGUAGUCGAGCCACUGGACGAAAUAGUCUUAAAGAAAGUUGAAUGCAAUACGAUUGUUUGGUAUGUAAGCCCAUUGUUAGACCACAUAUACAUACUUUAGAAAAACAUAUGCAGCACUAUACGCAUCAGGAAAUACAUUUACGAUUGUUUGGCAUGUCCAAGCCCCAUAGUCAAACUCACCUAACUAUCCAUGUUACUAAUUAAUAUCUGAUAAAAGCAUGAGCAUGGCUCUAACAUGACCUUGUUUCUUCAUAUCUUGAUCAUGUAGCCAAUUUUAGUUUACAUGGGUUCAAGUGUAAAUUGCAAAACCUUUUUUUAAUAUAUUAGCUUUCAUUUUCAAAUCAUUAUGCAGCCAAUCCCAGCUGGCCAACCCUGUACAAGCACAUGGGUUUAGGGUUGAAAGUUUGAGACUUUACCUAUUUAUACAUGAGGAGGUCCAUGCAUCGUCGUCAUGUAAUAGAUUACUUGCUUAGCAAGCUGAAAAUCAAAUAAUGUCUCUGCGUGAAGAAAUCAACCCAUCAAGCUAUGGUGAUAAAAUCACUGUUCUAAGCAUUGAUGGUGGUGGAAUUAGAGGCAUCAUCCCUGCAACCAUAUUGACUUUCCUUGAAUCCAAAUUACAAGUAUGCAAUUAUCUAUGUACUAAUUAUCAUCAUCAUCCAAAUUACAAGGAAAAUUUAGACUGAUUUUUGUUUUGUUUUUUGUUGUGUAUGUGUGUGCUUAGGAACUGGAUGGAGAAGAAGCCCGAAUUGCAGAUUACUUCGACGUGAUCGCAGGAACAAGCACAGGAGGCCUAAUAACAGCCAUGUUGACAGCACCUGACCAAAACAAACGACCUCUCUAUGAGGCCAAAGAUAUUGUUCCAUUCUAUCUCAACCAUUGCCCCAAAAUAUUCCCUCAAUCCAGGUUCAUUAAUAAUUAAUGAUCACUAAUUAUAUAAUUUCUUUUGCAAGUUUAGUUCUAAUUGCAUCCCAUGAUAUUAAUUAAUGGAUAAUAUAGUGGACCACUUAUGAGAAUGAGAGCCUUAAGGGGACCCAAAUAUGAUGGCAAGUAUCUCAGAAAGUUGGUUCGCAAAAUACUUGGAACUCGAAGACUGCAUGAAACUGUAACUCGAAUUGUGGUGCCUACAUUUGACAUCAAAUUGCUUCAACCCCAUGUCUUCUCAACCUUCGAGGUAUCAACUUAUAACUUAUAAUUUCAUAAGUUGCACAUACAAUUUAUUAUAUAUCACUGAGAGAUUAGGAAAAAUAUGAUAUGAUAUGAGUAAUGUAUAGCAGCAUGGUUGAAAAAUGUUCGCAGGCAGAGAUGGAAUUUUCUGAGGAUGCAUUGCUAUCAGAUAUUUGCAUCGGUACUUCGUCUGCUCCAACUUAUCUCCCAGCUCAUCAUUUCAAAACUAAAGAUUCAGAAGGAAAUGAAAGGGAAUUCCACCUUGUUGAUGGUGGGGUGGCAGCAAACAAUCCUGUAAGUAUCAUAUAUUUACCAACCACAUCUCUCAUUCAGGUACGGUGAGAUUUGUUUGAAAGAUAGGGUCAAAUGUGGUACAAAUAGUUUUAUUGAAGUUAUAAUGAUGCUUGAUACUAAUUAAUAUGGUACCAUGGUCCUUAAUUCAUCCAAGUACUUGUUUAUGGAACAUCUUUUCUUUGUGCUUCCCUUCUUAUGAUCAUUUUUGUGCGUGUGAUUUGAAUUGGAAAGGCCUUGCUGGCAAUGAAGCCAACAGGGAAAGUGUUCCCAGGCAGUCCAGAUGAUCUGGCCUCACCACAAAGUCUACAAUAUGAGAAAUACCUUAUGCUCUCACUGGGCACAGGGACUUCAAAGAUGGAGAAAAAAUACAACGCAAAAAUGGCAGCAAAGUGGGGGAUUUUGGGCUGGCUUUAUAAGGAUGGCCAUUGCCCUUUAGUUGAUGCCUUCACAUUUGCUAGCGGAGACAUGGUCGACCUUCACAUGUCCUUGAUUUUCAGGUCUGUCAAAUGCGAGCACAACUACCUUCGCAUUCAGGUACAUAUAUUUCAUCAACCUAAGAAAUUAAUGCUAUAAUUUAUGCAUUCCAUAUACAUCUCUAAUCGAAGCAUAUUCAACUUGAGGUCAUUUCUGUCUCGGUCAAAUAUGUGAUCAAUAAUGUCAUACGAAUAAGGGUUUCAAAGUAUUUUUCAUAAUUCAUUACUAUGUGAGAGCUGCAAUCUAGGAUGACACAUUAAGUGGGAACACAUCAUCGACAGACAAGGCAACAAAGGAGAACAUGAGGGAGCUAAUAAAGACUGGUGAGAGUCUGUUGCAGAAGCCUGCUUCAAGGAUGAAUCUUGAUACAGGGAUAUUUGAACCAGCUCACAAUGGAGCCACCAAUCAAGAAGUCCUCACUAGGUAGUGACGUCACAUAAUGUAUUUCAUAACCACUAAACUUAUAUAAAGCUAAUAAUUAAGCUAAUGAUUAAGCAUUAAUACUUGUGUUUGUGGCUUGGCAGAUUUGCUCAAAAACUAUCCGAGGAGAGAAGACUGCGAAAGGAACGAUUACAUCAGUGGUCCUCCAUUUGAUUACAAUAUAUAAUAGAUUCAUUAUCUUAAUUAUAAUUGUGUUUAAGUGAAUUUAUACUUGGUAUUAGAAUCAUGAUAUUGGCAUAUUGCUUGACACAUCUGGUGCAAGUUUUAUUCAUUAAUAAUAAUUGAUAUAUAUAUAUAUAUAUAUAUAUCUCUCAUUUGCUCGCCAAUUUUUAUUUUUUUUAUUUUCAAAUGGUUGUAAUUUUCCAAUUUUCGUGAAAAUAAUAUAUUGGUUAUUACAACUUUUAUGUGAGACAUCCAUUGUGGACCCGUACUAUAUACGUUUUUGAUAAUUAUGAAACGUGUUGAUCCAACGGAUAUAAGUCGAACUCAAGAUCUGAUGAACUUUAGCUACACCAUAAAACCAACAAACGAGACAUAUAAUAUUAUAUAUAUAUAUAUAUAUAUAUAUAUAUUCCACUUGUACCUAAUUUAUGCAUGAUGACAAGACACAAGGAUGUCAUAGUUAAAUCUAAUUUUGUAAAUGUUGGCAACAACAACAACAAUCCUAAUUUUGUAAAAAGUUAAUGAGCUAAUUUAAUUUAUGUAUGUUUAUAUGUAUGGUGGUACAUAAAGAAAACGAUUAGUUGUGACUUUAAUCAUACGUUCCAAUAACAAACAUGUAAUUAAAUUUGGACCAUAAUGUUGCCACUUUGUACAUAAUCUCGUGGUAUUAAUUUUUUUUUUUUUUCAAAUAUUUGAAAUUUCAUACCAUGCAUAUUCAUAUAAGAUAAGUUGUUCUAAUGAGUUCAAGUAACGAGAAAAUAUGGAAUAAUAAUUGUUUGUGCAAAUAAUCUCAUGGGAGAAUAUUCGCUUUUAAAUCCUUCAACUUUCGAUCUUUCUUCUCUCUCUUUUUCGAUUCCUGUAAAAAAGAUUGGAGUAAAUAGACCACACCCGGGGGAUGUUGGCCAAAGGCCCUCCGAUGCCUAAGUUAGUUCGAGUGUUUUUCGAUUCCUGUAAAAAAGAUUGGAGUAAAUAAACCACACCCGGGGGAUGUUGGCCAAAGGCCCUCCGAUGCCUAAGUUAGUUCGAGUGUUUGUAGGAAAACAAUAGUUAAGCAAAGGGUACGGAGUUGUAUGUAGGGUGUAAAACGGGUGGCCGGAGCCGUGUGGAGAAAAUAUGGAGAGUGGAGAGAGAGCUUCAGGUAUUUUUCUCGGGUAUUAGGAGUAGGUUUAGAUGUACCUUGAAUGAUGAAUGAUGUCGUCUAUUUAUAGGAGCCUCGGGGCUAAGGUUUCGUAGGGAUCGAGUCGGAUUUGAUAAUAUCCGAAUUAAAUAUAUUAUCUCUUAAGAAGAUAAUAUCUGAAUUAAAUGAUAUUAUUUUCUCUUUAUUAGGAUAAUAUCUUAAUUAAUGAUAUUAUCUCUUUAAAUAAAGAUAAUAUCAUAUUAAUUAAGAUAUUUAUCUCAAUUAAUUAAUUAGCCAGAUAAACUGGUUUAAUUAAUUAACUUAAGAGAUAAUCUUCUUUUCCACGUGGCAUGCCCUGAUUGGAGACGAAAAUAUAUGCUCCCACAAUAAUAAUAAUAAUAGGUUAGGAUUAUGAUAUGUGGAGGGUUUGGUAGUCCAUACCCGAUACCCUCCAAUAUAAUCAAGAAACAUAAUGCUUUCUUUAAUAAUUUUUAACAUGCAUAUGGGUGGCACCACAUCAAAAAGGUGGGCCAAACUCUCCCUAUUCUUUUUUAAAAAAAUUUACUUGUAAUCGAGAUAAUAUUAUUUUGCUAUUCUCAAUUAAUAACAAAUUAUUUAUUAUUGUAUUAUUAAUCGAGUUAGCAAAAAUUAGUAUUCCCGUUGCAUGAAAGUUUAUCUCUUCCCCUCUCUAGAAAUGAUAACAACAAAGAAAAUUUUAACAUAUAUUAUUAGAAAGAAUGUCUCAUUAGACACACAGAGAAAAAGUUCAAUAUGCCACGAAAGUAUUGACUCUUAUCCUACAAUGUCAGCAGGUGAGAUCACAGAUCUUUCGAGAUCCCUAGACCUCCACCCGGUAAGAGUUAACAACACCCGCCCUUUCUGUCUUCUAAUUUACAGCCACGUGGUGAAACCUAUAAAAAUAACCUCCAAUCCAUCCACAGUUUUCCACCUCGUGUCCACUCUCGGUUUCAGAGAAACAUUUUCCCUUCCGGCCCUCCACCAAUUUUCUCUCCAUCUCUUUUAAAUACAAUUAUUUUCAUUUUCCUUCCAACCAAACACCCCGGAAUUUUCCCGAGAAAUUCUAAAAUGGACACAACGCCGAUUAACUGGGAAGCCCUGGACGCUCUCAUCAUCGAUUUCGCCAAAUCCGAGAAGCUAGUCGAAGACUCCUCCUUUACGACGUCGUCUUCUCCACCCUCUUCCCCACCCUCUUCUUCUUCUCCCUCCUCUAUCUCCUCCUCGACUUACCACUCGAGAUUGAUCAUUCGCCAGAUCAGACGGUUGUUAGAGGCCGGUGACAUUGACGCCGCCAUCGAUCUCCUUCGCUCCCACGCCCCUUUCAUUCUCGAAGAUCACAGGCUCCUCUUCCGCUUGCAGAAACAGGUACUCUUAGCUGUUUGGCUGCCGAGAAAACGCCCGAAAAUAUUGUAAAUUACAGUUUUUAAGGGUUUUAUUUGUUUUUUUUUUUUCAUAUCAAAAUUAUUAACUUUGUGCUAUUUUCUUGAAGAGGUUUAUUGAGCUAUUGAGGAGAGGAACCACAGAGGAUCGUGAUUGUGCAAUUAAUUGCCUGAGAAAUGCUCUUGCUCCUUGUGCCCUUGACGCUUAUCCGGUACUUAUAAAACUUGAUCUUUGUAUCAAGCAUCGUAAAGUUUCUUUCUUUCAAUAAUCUUCUAACGGAAUUCACCACUAAGAGACUAGAGAGGUUGGCUAUAGCUCUAUUGUCCGUGUGUCAAAAUUGAGCAAAUAUGAGUAUUGGGUUUGUGCUAGUUUACUAAAUGUUUGAUGCAAGUUGCUUACUCUGUUCAAUUAUGAGUUCUGAUGGAUGUUUUUAUUGCAUUCAAGGAAGCAUAUGAGGAAUUCAAGCAUGUACUUCUUGCUUUUAUAUAUGACAAAGAAGAUCAAACUUCUCCAGUAGCAAGCGAGGUGGGAUAUUUUAUGUAAUGUCAACGCAACUAUGACCUAUGGUUCUUUUCUUUUUUCCCCAUACCAUACAUGUAGACUGACGUAAAGGGCAUGUUUGUUUUAUGUUUUCCAGUGGUCUGAAAGGAGGAGGUUUGACAUUGCUGGAUUGAUUUCCACUGUCUUAAGAGCCCAUUUACAUGCUUAUGAUCCAGUCUUCUCGAUGACAUUGAUAUAUUUAAUAAGGUGUUACCUCAUUGACUUUAAUUUAGUUACUUGCAAUCAACAUUAUUGUAUUCUUUGGGGUGUGAGUGAGUGAGAGUGCCUGUGUGGUGGGGAUACAGCACAGGCACUAGAUUCAUUGUAGUAGUCUUUUAAAGUUAUCCCUGUCUUAUGCAGCAUACACAAGGGAUUUUGUUUUCGUCAAGGAAUUUCGUCACCCAUUUCUGAUCUUACUCAGAGGCUGCUUCUUGAGGAGCGGGACCCCCCAGCAACACCCCAGGAGACCCUGUAUGAAGCACCUCCUUUUGAUGAGGUGAGAUUUCUAAAAUUUGAACCUUUUUCUGUAGAUGUUACAGAAGGUAAACAAAGAAUUAUCGUAUAGUCAGCAUGUCUUAUAUAAUUACACUGCUAACCAUGUCUUAUAUAAUUUUAUGUGUGGUUUGGAAAACCAGGUGGACAUACAAGCUCUUGCACAUGCUGUGGAGCUUACAAGACAAGGAGCAGUAGAUAGCUUGAGAUUUGCUAAGGGUGAUUUAUUUCAGGCGUUCCAGGUUAUUAAUUACCUUUUCAACGUUAUUUUCAUCACAGUUGCUUUAAGUUUGAAUAUAUGUUAUUACAUUUCACAAUUCAUAGGAGUUCGGUCAUUGGAUGCUUAUCCAUAACUCUUAUUUCUUGCAUGUUAGUGGUUCCCUGGAAAAAUAAACCUAAUGAUGCUACUGUAAAUCAUUUAUGAGGUUCUUUGAAUUAUAUAUGGUUGGCUCAAUAUUUUGACUUUACUGAUAUUAAUUAUUGUUCUUAAUACUUAUCUACUGCAGAAUGAAUUAUGUAGAAUGAGGUUUGAUGUUACCAUGCUUGAUGAGCUUGUUCGCGAGUACUGUGUUUACAGGGGCAUUGUGGAUUCUGGUCUUCCAUCUUCUUCAGGUGAUAAUUCAACUUUUUCAUUUCAUUAUUUUUUUAAUGUUUCAUAGACGUGUGUGUGUGUGUGUGUGUGUGUGUGUGUGUGUGUGUUUUUCCUUCUUCUUAAUUUCUGGUUCCCCUACUGAUCUACCUCCCAACGACAGCAGCUGGAAUACAAAGCCCUUCCAAAUCUUUGAAAGUUGAUCAACCAGGGAUUGGGUUUUGUUUGUCAAGAGGCAGUUCCCAUGAGGUAGAUUCUGGUGCCGGCAAACAUUCUGAUGGUGAAAUUUCCAUCAGUACUAAUGAUAACCUAGGUGGUUCCCCUGGAAAGAAUUCUGAAGUGACUAGCAUGCAAGGAGUAGAUGUUGAAUUACGUUAUGCUUUUGAGUCAACAAACAACCAUGAAGAUUGUAGCACCAGUGGAUCACAUCAGUCUGAUAAUCUCAGAGUUCCACAAAGAAGCAAAGCCAAUGUAACUGCAGAAAGAAGUAAACGCAAGCGAUGGAGGGGAAGACAAGAUGAUAUUUGUUUUACUACUGGCGUUUCCUAUAAUGAAACAAGUAAAGAGCUUAGCACGACGGCCGUGGUUUCCAAUAUGUGUUCAUCAAGGGAACAGCAGGUUUUGUUUUGUUGUAAUUACUUAUAUGUUGUAGUGGUAGUACCAGUGAUGUUAUUGGUUGUUAGUUGACAAGAGUGUUGUUCUGCAGGCUUCAGAAUGUUUAAGUUUAGACAUUAACAAUGUGGAGGAUAAAUAUGAGAUUGUGCUUGGGAUGAAGGAACUAACUAGCAAAGGGAUGGCUGCGGAGGUUGUGGAAGAAGUUAAUGCUAUGGACCCAAACUUUUUUGUACAAAAUCCCACUUUGCUGUUCCAACUUAAGCAGGUACUUUGAGCAUGUAUUUUCAGUAGCUUCAUUGAAGUAAAUGGUUUUUAUUAAGAUUUUAUGAUACAAAACUACUGUCUAAUCUUUUUACCAACCUGUAGGUUGAAUUCCUUAAGCUUGUUACCUCCGGUGAUCAUUCUAGUGCUCUGAGGGUUGCUUGCUCUCAUUUAGGUCCAUUAGCUGCUAGCGAUCAAGCUUUACUGAAGCCCUUGAAGGAGACUUUGUUAGCACUGCUCCAACCUAAUGAAGAUGCACUUGGAAAAGGCUUGCCCUUACAUGCUCUUGCAACUUCACUACAGGUAUCCCAUGACUAAUUGUCAUAAUUCAGUUAAUAGGAAUGCUCAUGCAAUUUAUUUCAUUAAUUGAUUCAGUUCUUAGUUUGUACUGCGUUCUUUAAGGUUGCAGUUGGUACUCAAUGCACAACUCUUUUCUGCUAGGGUUUUAGGAUAACUACCAUCAAAUCAUUUUUCCAUCUGGACACAGUUCUUAAAUGUAAUAUAUAUUAUUUACAUUGCACCAUGCCAUAAGUAAGAAUUAAUCAAUUGCUUCUGUGUCGGAUAGGUUGCAAUUGGUAGGAGGCUUGGCAUUGACGAACCCCAGCUUAUGAAAAUAAUGAGAGCUACCCUUCACACACAUAAUGAAUGGUUUAAACUUCAAAUGUGUAAAGAUCACUUUGAAAAUCUAUUGAAGAUUGAUUCCUUAAAAGAUGUUACUACUCCUUCGCUCGCUGCUGCUGCAAUUUCAAAGUCAAAUGCAGAUAGUUGCUCUAACGGGUCUUCCCAAGUUACAGUAUCUUCAAGCACCAGGAUGGUGGAAGAUGGGAGCAGUCUGACUCAAGUUUCAUCUAGAGAUGUUGUGUGUGAUGAAAAUGCAAUACUGAAAGUAAUGGUAAGUUAUGAACUUAAGUUACAUCUUUCUGUACAUUGCCUUGCCUUUUGAGUGGUGGUUUUUUGGUUUUGAGGAACUUUUUAGUUUUACCUCCAUAGGCUUACCAAAGAUUGGCAUCUUCAUAGAUUAUUCCUAUCCAUUGUGCAUCAUUUGUCAUUCCCAUUCCUGGUCUUUCCUUGCGACAUAAGAUUACUUGAUUAUCAAUACAUUCCCCAACCAAAAGGGUUCCCCUAUGUCAACAAGAAAUGUUAAUCCAGAUCUUUGUAUGGUUAUCCCAUCUUCUAAAUUCUAACACAUGUUUGUUCCGUACAACUAAUUAUACUAUUUUGGACGAUUGCAGGAGUUUCUAGCCUUGCCCAGGGCUGAUGCCAUCCAUCUUCUUGCACAGUACAAUGGAAACGCUGAGACAGUCAUUCAGCAAAUAUUUGCAUAGUUUGAAUUGUAGCGGUUUUGCAGCUAUCCUAUGUACGAUUAAUUUUUCCCUAUUAUUUGAUUCAAUUUGUGCAUAAGAGUUUCCCAUGUAGAUAGACAUACACGUAGUUACAAAGAGAGGUACAGUAUUAUGUCUUGUAAACACUUACACUGGCUGUUCUUGGUAUAUUAUCAUGUAUGGGGAUUCUGUCAGCCAUUAAUAAAACACUGUUGGUUGAUAAAAAGAGGAAGAAAGCAUUGAUGGAUUGGUUUUGUGGUUUUAUAUUGUUUGUUAGCAUUGAGUAGGUCCAAUUUGCCUUAGGUGUGUGGGUUUUUGGAGUUCUCCAUUGCCUUGAUUCUAAAUGACAAUGCAUGAAAAUUGCAAAAACCCUAUAUGUGAAGCAUCAAAUAAGUCACUAUUGGGUAUGAAAAUGGAAUUGAGUUUUUUUCUUUUGCCUUCUAGAAAAAGAUAAUUAUUUAAAUUUCAUUAAUAAAAAGAACCUAAAUACAAUCAAACGUUGUAACCGGCAAAAAGAAUAAUAAUAAAAAUAUACAAUCAGCGUCCAUCCAGCUCCAAGACACAAUUAGGAGCCCCAUACCCUUUGCUUAUGCAGUAGAGGCUGCUGUGGAUUAUUAUGCUAACUUUCCAAAUAAUUUUCAGAAAAUAUAUUUCCAAAUUCAACGACUUGCAUUGCCAUUGCUAGCUAGAGCCUUGAAGGAGAUACAAGCAAGCAGCGCACUUACAACACAACUCAUUACUUUAUGUCAGAUUUUGGUGAUUUUGACUCCCGGAGCUUCUUUUCGUCCGAAAGUAAUUUUGCAAACCUACAAUGCAAUACAAGCAUUUUCUUGGUCAACAAGCAUUAACACAAUCAAUGAUGAUGAUGAGGAGUCGUUGACUAAUUCUAAUUCAAGAAAAAAUGUUGAUUCUGCAUCUGCAGCAUAACCAUCUGAUAAGGGUUACCUUUGAAGUGCUUGCUGAUUGGUGCCACCAUUUUCAACUGGUUCGUAGAGACCCGUAUCCAAAUCCAUGGUUGAAAUUGGUUUCUGGAGCAAUGUAUUCCCAACUUCCACUAGAUUUUCCAAGUUCUCCUUGGUAGCUUUAUCAGCUGAAGCUAGAUUUCCCUCUAGCGUGUCCUCCUGGUUUCUCAAUAUUCAAUAGAAUAUAUUUUUGUAAAUUAACGAACAUAUAAAUUAUAAUAUAAAUAUAUUAUAUUCAAACUCAGUUACCUCAAUUCUGAGGUAGUUCUGUUCAGAAUGGAGGGCUUGGAAAACCACAGAGUUGUGGUAGUCAACCAUACAAGCACCUGCUUCAUCAAAGCAUUCCAAUAAAGGACUUGACCCAUCCUCGUAUAACCACCCUAUAACACCCCAUUUGGAAACCUUCUUAGCAUUGUACCUCAGCUCACUUCUGUUUGAGCCUGUCCCAAACGAAACCAACAAAAGACGAUCGUAUAACUCCAUGGGCUUAAUCUCCAUGAAAUCUGGAUUUUGCUUCUCAGUUUGUUUUAUCACUUCACUAAUGGCAACCGAAGCCUGAAACCAUAUUAGAUUUAGCAACAGUGAAAUUAAGUCAGUCAUGCCACACCCUCCAAAUUGCAUACAAAACACUGCGUCACAGUCUGAGAAAUGCUAACUGGACUUGCUUAAAAGAAAGUGCGGCUGUAAACUUUCUUAUAAGCAAGUCUCUUUAGCAUUUCCCGUCACUCUUACUGUAUAUGGUAUACUGAACUCUAAAAUCUAUUAAAAAAAAUUCAUGCGUAAUUAAGAGCAUCACCGGAUUAUUAGCGGCCACGCCACCAUCGAUGAGGUUGAACUCUUUUGGUUCCCCUUGUUGAUCAUUGUUUUCAAAAUAGUGGGCAGGGAGCAAAGUUGGUGCUGCUGAGGUACCAAUGCAAAUGUCUGAAAGUUUAGCAUUCAACACUGGACGGCUUGUCACCUUGAUCAUGACAAAAAUACUUAGAACUUCGCUUAAUUAUCAAUCAAAUUCCAAAUGAAAUUACUGAUUUCUCAUAAUUGGUAAUUAGUAAUUAAUAUACUGAAUAAACAACCUGAUAAGAGGAAAAUAUGACAGGCAGAAGUUUCUUGACGUCAAACGUUGGAAUAACCACGUUUGUCAAGGUUUGGUCCAACCUUUUGUCCCCUACUAUAUUUCUUAUUAGCUUGUGCAAAUACUUUCCAUCAUACUUGGGUCCUGUUAGAACUUUAACUAGAUCUACAACUGCGGCACACAAUCCGCUGUAUAAUCAUGAGUAACCGAAAGAGCGUUAGUUACCAGUUUAGUGAUACUUUUCUUCAUGUUGUUUGAAGAGAUCCGAGUUCGAAUCUUUCUUCUUUGACAUAAAUACGACAAAAUUAUAUAUCGAUGCAUCUAAUUACAAUUUUCAUAUUAGUGUUUCAAUAAUAUUACCUUGAUUGUGGGAAAAUUUUUGGACAGUUGUCAAGGUAAAAUGGGACAAUAUCUUUGGCAGCGUAUAAUGGUCUAUUGUUGUCAUUAGGUGCUGCUAGCAUAGUCGCAAUUAGACCACCUGUGCUUGUCCCAGAAAUAACGUCAAAGUAAUCUGCAAGCCUUGCAUCUUCACCAUCUAGUUCCUAAUUAGUUAAUACCACCUAUUUAAUAAUGUAAUUAUGUAAAGCUUAUUAUAAAUCAAAAACAAAAAGUGUUACCAAGCGAGCCCUUACCUGAAGUUGAGAUUCAAGGUAAGCAAGAAGAACACCGGGGAUGAUUCCUCUAAUUCCUCCUCCAUCUAUACUGAGAACUGUUAUGAGGUUGCCAUAUUUUGGAGGCUGAAGGACAUUUAGAGAUGAGCUUAUAUUUUCCAUCUGUUGUGACAAGCUUGUGGAUGUGGUGAUCGAUAUAAUAUGUGAACCUAUAUAGGUAAACAAUCGAAAAUGACACACUGUGGCUUGGACUUGGAGGCAUUGGGUUUUGCGUGCUUAUACCAUGCCUUCAAUACUCCUUAUUUUAUAGCCAUUUGUUCAUACUUCAAUAUCAAUCCAAUUUAAUAAAACCUAGGCAGUUUUUUUGGUCAAGAAUAAAACCUAGAGGUAGUGUUUUCAAGAACAUGUGUUGGUUUAACUAAAGGAGUAUAAGAUAAGGUCAAUAAAAAUGAUUGGACUUAACUGAUGGUCUCCCAAUAUGAAGUACCUUAUUGCUAUUCAAAUCUUGAAAUAGGUUAAAUUCUAGUCUUACUAAUGUCACACGAAAUUCCAAAAAAUAUACGUUUGUUUACGUGACCAAUUAAAUCAAAAUAAAAUAACCUUUGUGGGUUUAUUUAUUUAUUUAUUUUUUCCUUGUUCAAAGAAUAGGAAGAACAAAUCCACAAGGAACACAAUUAAAUUAACAAAUUAUUAUAUUUUGCAAAGAUUAAAUCCAAGAAACUUUGACAUUUGGGUGGCAAUGCUGGUGAGCGGGUCCAGUCAGUUCAAGUAAUGUGGUACUAAUUAUUUGCACUUUCUUUUAGAGUUUGUUUGUGAGUGAUUUUGAAUAAGCAUAUGGGCUUCUUUAUAUCAUUUUAAGUGAUUUUAAGUAAUUCUGAGAAGAAACACAUCUCAUGUGCUUUUUCAUAAAAUCAUUUAAAGUGAUUAUACGAAGAAGUGAUUCUUCAUAGUGCUUGAUCUAUCCAGAAUUACUCUCAAACAAACCCUUGAUCUUUUGGUUACAUACAUACAUGCAUAGAUAUAUGUAUAUAUAAUUAAUAUAAUUUUAAGAAAGUCAUAUCAUAUCUUUCUCUCUUCAAGUUUGGGGUGCGGGUAUUGAGUAUAUAUAUAUACGAAAAGUCUAAGCGCGUGCUUUAAAUGUAAAUAUUUAAGAUUAUCCAGGGUUUAGUAAACCAAGUCAUGACUCAUUGCUCUUGCAAGAUUAUUUAAUAAAUAUUCAUCUUUGUUGUUCAUAAAUAUUAAGGUUAAUAAUUUAUAGCAACUAGGUAGCAAUAAAAAUGAAAACCCACACGAAAUCUGAGGUAGGUAAAGGUAAUGAGCUAAUUCCACAAGAAAAGAUAACGGAUCCGAGGCUUUAUAUUUAGAUAUUGUACAUUUAUUUGUAUUUCGUAAGAUUAUCUUAACGAUUUAACUAUUUAAGACAUAACACAUAGUAUUUAAAUAAACUUUAAAAAAAAAAUCUCUAAUAACUUAAUUCAAUUUAAAAUUUAAAAAAAAAAAUUCAAGAUUAAAAAAGAAGACAUGCAACUCUCCCUCCCCACCCUUAUCCCCGCCAUCCAUACCCAACUCAAAGCCGCCCUGGCCACCACCAUCUCUCUCUCCCUCUCACACACAGAUUGACCCCCACAACCAUGAAAUAAGCAGGGUGUGAAUACAAAUCCAAAUACAAAUCAAAGUGGUUCUCCAAAUUGUAGAAUUUGGAGGAUAUAGUUUUUGGUCAAUUGAGUAUAUUGAGAAGGGGCAGUGAGUGGAGAGGUUUAUUCAAUGGAUAUAUGCAAUUCCAAUUUGAUAUUCCAUAUAACACUCUUUCAUGUACUUUCAAAAUCAUAAUCUGAGUGGAUCAAUACCCAAGCUCCUUUUCCUUCCCCCACUUGAGCCCAGAUUCCCCUUCCCCGCCCCAACUCCUCCUAGCCCACUUACCCUCAACUUUCGAGGAUUUUUAACUUUAUUUUUUUUACUUAAACAAUAAUAAUUUUAAACAAUUUUCUGAUGAAAAAACUAAUUUUUAAUACAUAAGUUGUUGAUGUGGCAUGUCUUAAAUGGUUAGAUCAUUAAAAUUGUCUAAAUAUUAGACAAUACGGUCAAAUGCACAACAUCUAAAUGCAAGUCUCGUGACCAUCAAGUGACCCUCAUGAAACUGAUAAAACAACUUCUCUGAUGAAGCAAAUAAAGAAGAAAAGAAGAAAAGAAUGAAAGCUUUACUGGUCAGAAGCCCAUUGGACCUCGAAUAUGAAUAUGUUAGACUUGUUUUGAUACACCUUCCGGCAUGGAAUGCAAUGCAUCUGACAUGAAAUUCAUUGAAAUUUUUGGUGCCACAUUCUAAAGCAGUGAGUGCCAAGCGGGUAAUUAUGGGCUGUGCCUAGUGUCCUUUCUUUUUUUGGUCAGAGACGCAGUGUCCAGGUUUUGUCUUGAAGCUCAAGCAGCGGUACCACUGGUACUGGGUUUUGAAGCAGCUGUUUUCCAUUGUUACAACUUGUAUAUCACAAAGAUUUGGACUCACAUGUUUCGGCAGUCCUCGCUUUAAUUCUCUGUGCUUUUGUCUGCAAACUAAAGCCCCAGGUGGAGGAGAGUUUUACUGUGUCCGGCUGUAGCAUACGACAACACACUUAACACGAUAAAAUCAAUGUGGGAUUGAGUUGAAUUAAAAUACAUGAAAUUUUGAUGUGUUAUGUGUUUCUAACUUUUCUAUGGGUGACCUGUUCCCACAGUUGGAUUCAAAAAUUUCUCCGAAUAGAGGUGAUGAUAAGUAAGUUAUGAUUAAUAGUUGUGACAUGACGAUUUAAAAAGACAUAUCACAAGUUAUAUAUUAUUUUGUUGUCACUAAUAUAUGUAAGGAUUUUAUCAAGAAUAUCGAGUUUUAACCGUUGAUGCAUGUACGGAUAAUGACUGAGACAAUCGACCAUCUUUGGAUUUCAAAUAUCAUAUUCUUCCUUGUUUGGCAAAUAGCAAUGACCUAGUUUCCAUAUGAUACCAGUGCCCUUAACUUAUUAUGUUGUCCCCAUUACAAUGAUAGAGGGUUGUUUAAAGUGCAAGCAAUGAAUAGCUCCUGUGGGACAAUGAGGUAUACUCAUAGUUUCUUCAACCGUAAUAUGAUAAUAAUAUAUAUACUACAAGCAAAGUUAUAUAUAUAAUAUAUAGUGUAAUACUGAGCAAAGUAGGUUGUCACAAAACUAUUUAGAGUGGGCUUCACGUUUUCCUUCAUAUGAUAUCCAUGUCUUAUAUAUAUAUAGUUUUUUUUUAUUGAGGAAUUUUUUAAAUAAGUUUAUUUGAGGGAAGUUCUUUAGGGUACUCUAUAAUUUUUUUUUCAAUGAUCCAAACCAUCUAUUUUGUAGGUCUUCAUUCAUAGAUCAUUCUUACAAAAAAUUAGACAAAUGGGAAACCUUUUCAACAUCCAAUUGUGUCCUACCAAAUCAAUGAACACGGUACUUCAAGAAAGUACUAAAAUUUCAAUAACUCAAUUGAAUGGUCAAAUGAUAUCGGAUUCAAGUAAUUUUUUCUAUAAAUGAUCUUUGAAUGAGUAUCUACAAAAUAGACGGUUUGGAUUAGUGAAAUACAAUCCGGAGUGGAUCCUAUAAGAGGUGUCCUUCAAUGGAAACUCUUUUUGUAUUAUAUAUAUAUAUAUAUAUAUAUAUUUUUUUUUUUUUUUCUUAUACAAAAUUAUUUUAAUCUCUAAAUGUAACCCAUUUCGAAAUUUGAAAGAAACUUCAACUUUAAAGAAAAGUUGACACUUGACUCACACACACACACAGAGAAUUUGGGUACUUGAAAUGAAACACUUGGCAGUUGGGUUCAAGUGGGGCUGGAAAAUCAUGUGAUUGCUUGCAUUGAUGGAUUUUCUGAAAUAGGAUUAAUUAUAGAGUAGCUGCUGCUUUCUUCUUCUUCCCAGCACAUCAUGAAAUGGAUUUUCCAAAUUAAUCGGUCAUUAGUUCACAUAAAUGCUAGUCUAUGUAUACGACUUUGACGUCUUCUACCUCUUGAAAUAAAAGAUUGAACUGGUAAAUGCCUGAAACAGAAAACUUCCUUCCUUGAUUACCAAAAUCAAAACUCGUGUUUGGAAUCUUAAUUAUAGCUUUUUAAUAUUGGAAGCAAUGAACGUUUCUAGACCUAAUCAUUUUCAAGUUUGACAAUGCGAAAAAGUGCUUUAACUGCAUUUAACUUUUUUGAGGUAAACAGAAAAAGUCCCCUCUUUUUUUUCAAAUAUUUUAAAGGAUGAUUUGAAAUUCAUGAUAGCAUAGUUUUGUAAUCAAGGGAAUGCCUAAGAUUAGAAUGCUAUAAAUGCAGGUGCAUCAAUUUGAUAGCUAGCUAUCUUAUCUGAGGAUUGUACUUUGGUCUGUUGGUGAAAAUCAACAUCACUCUAUCACAAUUCACGAUUGGAAAAUACUUCCAUUCUUUUCCUGUGAGUAGGAGCUCAUACAUUUUUGUCAAUAACAGUGUAACAUAUGUGCAGAAGAGAGAGGUAUUUCCUUAUAAGAAAGGAGGUAGGCAGUAUAAAAAUUAAAAGGGUUUGAGGCAAUGGCGGAUCUAGGAAGGGGCUCGACUGGGCUUUAGUCCAGUGUUGGUUUUGUAGUUUAGUCUUAAUUGUACAACAAAAUCCAUUGCAAUUAAAUAUUAACCCACUUAUCUUUUAGAAUUCAGUUUAUCCUAGCCACCUGCAUUAGAUUUUUUUUCUUCUACCCACUGAAAUCCUACCAUAUUUUCUAUAUAUAAAAAUAUAUAAUCUUACCAUACAAUAUUAAUUAGCUCAAAAAUUCUUGGUUAUAAAAGAUCUCCCAAAAAAUAAAUAAUUUAGCCCAACUCUAGAAAUUUUUUUGAAUCCGCCAUUAGUUUGAGGGUCAUCACUCCAUCUCUAUCUCGUUUAUGCUUGGGUUUGUUUUUUUUUUUUAAUGGGGUCUCUCCUUAAAACGCUCCAAAAGUUGUCCUGUUCUAUUAGCAUAGAGUUUGAGUCUCUGUUUUCUUGUGGAAGGGUUUAUACUUCCAGCUAUUAAGCUAUAUGUGGAAGGGGUAGGUUUUCCAACCACCUUUGUUUAAUCCAAAAUCCGUCUUAAUUUAGAGAAGAGCUAUGUAAGUAGGUUUAGAAGUCCUUAACCCACUUUACUAUUUCCUAAAUUACAAGAAGCAUAGUGUUGUAGAAAUACAUUUGUUAGGAAUCCUUAUUAGACUUUAAUUUUAGCACAAGGUACCAAUAAAACGUGGUUGAAGAGUCACAAUUAAAUUAAACAAUAGUCUAAUCUCAAAUGCGCACCAACCAUAGAACUCUAAUCAUUCAACUUAAUAUAAUUCUCAUUUACUCUAAAAUAAUAAUUCGGCCCAAUCAAUCUGAAAUAAUAAUUCAUUCCAAUGUAGUGUACGAUUCGAAGUCGGUUCAACUUUAAUAUUAAAGAUCUUAAGCCACUUAAGAAAAAUCAAAAUUUAGAAUUGGGAAUCGGUAGCUUAAUUCUUGUUUAGGAAGCAUAUUACUUAAAUAAGUUCCACAAUUCCCACACAUCUACUUUAUUUAUAUAUAAAAAAAAGUUGGUAAAUAACAACUUAUAUUAGUCGUGUGUAUAUAAUAUACAGGAAGCUUCAGUUGAGGGAUUCCUCAAAUAACUUAUUUGAGGGAUAUCCUUGUAGGGCCCAUUUUGUAUUGUAUUUUACUAAUCCAAAUCGUCUAUGUUUUAGAGAAUCAUUCAAAGAUCAUCUCUACAAAAAAUCACUUGGAUCCGAUAUCGUUUGACAGCUCAAUUGUGUUAUUGAAAUUUUAGUACUUUCUUGAAGCACUGUGUUUAUUAAUGUUGUAGGAUAUAAUUGGAUGUCGAAACGGUUUUCGAUUUGUUUAAUUUUUUGCAAGGAUGAUCUAUGAAUGUAGACUUAAAAAAUAUAUAGUUUGGAUCAUUGAAAAAAAUUUAUAGGGUACCUAAAAAGGUGUCCCUCAAAUAAUAUUAUUUGAGAAAUCCUUUAAUUUUAAUAGAAAGGGACAUAAAAUAAUUUAAGAAAAGGACUAUAUAUAGAUAUUCUUGUAAUUUAUAGAUUCUAUCGUAAUCAAACAAAAGUCAAAGUCUACAUAUUUCCUUCUCUUUUAUUAUCUUUUAUUAAUUUUUUGUUUCUGAUUUUCCUUUUUUUGGUCGGGAACUCUCUUCCCUCUUCAACGCCUCAAGUCAUUUGCCUUUGUUUUUUUUUUUUGGGUAAAGAAAGAAGUCUUUUGCUUUUGUUGGUAUGCAACUUGGACUUUUUAGAUUGCGCUAGGUUACGGCAUUUGGGGGGCGUAUGGCAAUUUGAUUAGAAUUUAGAAAAUGCUUAUAUAAAAAUGAAAAAUCUUAUUACCAAUAAACAAUCCCUCGGAGACCAACAAGAAGAAGAAGAGUUAGGCUUUGUUGUGCUGUGUGUUGCAGCGUUUCCCACUUGGCCUUUCAAUUUUUUUCAUGGCCCUGUUUCCCAAAAGACCAAAAAAAAGCUCCAAAACCCAGACGCUUCUUUAUUUGGCUUCCUUUUUCUCUGUAGCUGUCUCUCUCAUCUCUCUUUGAGGAACUAGCUAAGGAUACUCGAAGGGUGGUAUGAACAGUACUCUCUGAGCUCUGCUUGGUGGUCGGUCUUUGUUUGAUUUCUCUCUGGUUCUGGUAAAACAAUGGCUGAAGACAUCUGUUUCUUCAACAAGGUGCUGCCUUUACUCCCUCCUUUUCGUUAUUUUCUGCUUUUAAUUCUCAAGUUUACUUUCUGUUUGAAAUGAAGUAGUGGGUUAUGCUCAAAAUGCUGUUUUUAUACAUAAAUUUUGUUUAUUCAAAUAAAAUAUUGGUAAGAGAUGUAUUCUGGUAGUCUUGAAGCAUAUGUGGGCGUCUUCUUUUUGUUUUUCCAGUUUCUUUUUCCUUAAUCACGUGUAAAAGGUGUUAUCUUCAAGGCUGUUCCUUCAGCUUUGUGGGUGAAAGACAAAUGUAUAUGGAUUUGAAGGAGAAUGUUUGGUGCUGGCCGCUCCUCUGGAUGUUCGAUCUGGGUUUUGAGACUUUAAUAGAAUUUAUCUGUAACCAAGUUUAUUAUGCUGUUAAUAUUACCGCUGAAAAGGACACUUACAUUUGUAUUCUUCGAACUGGGUUAGUAGUAGAACUAGUAUUUAGUGGUUCUAUGGAUUGUUAUACUUGAUUAUUGUUGUGAGUGUUACUUAGAGAGCAUAUAUUACAUUUGUGCAUACCCAUUACAACUUUUUCAUCAACUCUCCUUAUCAAGAUUUUCAUUUAACUCCCCCUUUCCCCAUUUUGGUUCACAGGAAACUCUGAUCAUAAAGCCUCCUAAGAAAUCUCCUUUGUUAUUGAGGAUGACAGUCCUAGUAUUUGCAAUGGUCUUUGGCGUUUAUAUCUGCUCAAUAUGUCUAAAGCAGUUAAGUAUCCAAACCAUGACUAGAUUUCAAAGCAUCAAAGUCAUUGCAAGGCCUUGCCACGACACCAAACUACUAGAAAUUCCUUAUAAGCAUUACCCAAUGCCUGAAACUUUUAGCAGGUAAUUGAGAAUUUGCACUUUUCAAAUUUGAAUUUGGGCAUUUUCAGCUUUGUUUGUUUUUGUUUCUUUGGAUAAGAGCAUCUUCAGCUUUGUUAAAUCUCUGUUUUGGUCUAUUUCUAGGGCUGAAUGUGCACGUAAUCCUGUAAGAUUCUUUGCAAUCUUGUCGAUGCAGAGAUCAGGGAGUGGGUGGUUUGAAAGCCUGUUGAAUAGUCAUAAAAACGUUAGUUCUAAUGGAGAGAUAUUCUCCGUUAGGUCUAGGAGGGAAAACAUAUCUUCAAUUGUACAGACUCUGGAUAAAGUUUACAAUUUGGACUGGUUCAGUAGUGCUUCGAAGAAUGAGUGCUCUGCAGCAACUGGCUUCAAGUGGAUGCUUAAUCAGGUAUACAAUGUCUUUCUACUUCAGCCUAAUAAUGGUUAUCGAAUACAAAGUCUUCUGCUCAGUGAUUAGCGGAAAGCUUAUCCUUUUAGUGACAACUAGUAGGAAAUGUAAAACAAUGCGAACCAUAUUACUGUUUAAGAGGUUGUACUAAUAAGGUCUUGGAAACUUAGAUCAUGAUUGGUCCAAAGCAUCAGAACAAUCAAUAUGGUAUUCCCAUGCCAUGGUCCAGUAAAUUGUCAACUUUCUAACAGAUUCUGUUUAAUUAAUUACUUUUUAUAUAUGAAGUUUUUGACGUGAUAACUUACCAAUAAUGAAUAAAUUUGUAUAUGAUGUGACAUGAGGGGUGGUUGGCCAUCUAAGAUUCUUAAAGGCAAUUGUUUUACUGCUUAAUCAGCCCAGUUAACUUCUCAUUUUACUCAGUUUUUCGAUUUAAUAUGUGUUAUGUCUCAUGAGUCAUGACGAGGAGGUAAACUGUUCCUUGUUUCAUGUUGGCCUUAUAUAUGUAUCAUAUAAAGCACCAAAUUGACUGAAGAGUGGCCAUAUUGGAAUCGCAAAGAUAUUAAAGGUUGCAAUCACCAAAUUGACUGGUCAUUCUUGUUUUUCUCCAAGGGGAGAUGGUGGAAGAGCUAACUUAUAGCUUUUGCAGGGGUUAAUGGAGCACCACAAAGAAGUUGUGCAAUACUUCAAUCGCAGGGGCGUCUCUGCAAUAUUUCUCUUUCGAAGAAACUUGUUGCGUAGAAUGGUUUCUGUUCUUGCUAAUUCUUAUGAUCGAUACGCUAAGCUAUUGAAUGGAACCCACAAGUCACAUGUACAUUCAGAAGAAGAGGUCUCUCUCUCGCUCUCUCUGAUUACCUCUCCCUCCACUCCCCACCACAACCACGUUUUCAUUAUCUUAAAUUUUAUCUGGUGACUUCUUGUAUAUGCAGGCUGAUACCCUGAAAAAGUACAAGCCUACUAUCAAUAGCACGAAGUUGAUUACUGAUCUUAAGGAAAUGGAGUUGACAACUUCAAAGGCUUUAGAGUACUUCAAUAGCACUAGGCACAUCGUUUUGUUCUACGAGGACAUUAACCGCACUGUAAGGAUCUAAGUAAAACCUUCAUGAAAUCUUUGAGUUAUCGUAUGUUCUUGUAAAUAUUUUCAUUAUUCACUUGGAGACUACUACCAUAAGACUUAUAAUUCUGCUACUAUUUUUGUGUACAUUUUCCUGGAAUUAUGCAUCUAAAGUAGUCAUUAUUUCUUCUUAUUCAGAAACUAAAAGAAGUUCAAGAGUUUCUUAGCCUUCCACAGAUGGAAUUAACCAGCCGUCAGGUAAAGAUACACAAUGGACCGUUGUCAGACCUUAUCAAGAACUGGGAUGAUGUGAAGAAGACGCUUAUAGGAACACCUUACGAAGAUUUUCUCCGCUCGGACUAUUAGGCGUAGUCCUCUGCUAACUCUUUGAUACUGGUGUACAUACCAACUCAAGUUAUUCUUACCCCAGAAGCUGACAGGAUAUUGCCCGUGCUUUAAAAUUUUUUGGCCGCAACAACACAGGCCUGGUGUUUUGAUCCUUCUUCAUUUUUUAUCUCAUCAACACUCCGUUGAUGUGUCUAUACACCUUUUUUCUUUUUGUUAACCAGACAGACACAUUGUAUAUGUCAGCUAAGCAAUGUGAGUGAAUAUGCAAUUCUUUAAUCUCUAUUUUGUUUUCUUGAUCACCCUUUAAUUUAUAUUUGUUUGGUGUUCUGUUUCUGUGUCAUGUUAUUAUUGUCGUUCAAUAUUAUCUGAGGAUAUACAUUGCAAUUUGCAUGCAGAUUCUUUAAUUUUGUUCUCCAUCUUCCACAAUAACCACUUGGGUAUACGAGUUCUUCCAUUUUCUCUAUGUUGCAUUUCUUGUUGGGGAAAAUACUUUUUAUGCUUUAGGAUUUAGCAGUGUCUGCAGAAAAUUUAUAGACAAGACAAUCUUUGCUCAUUGAGCUUCUUAUUUGUGCAUUUGGUAUUCACUCAUCAAAAACACAGGCAUAGUCUAUUUGAACACAAUUUUCCCUCCCUUUCUUUCUUGAAUGCGUAGCCAUCUACACACAUGUCCUUUUUCUGAUAUGUCAGACCCUUAAUCUAAUCCACAACAAAUAGCAUGUAUCUCUCCUUAGGUCUUGGGCCCUUGGAUUCCUAAUCAAGUGAGUAAUGGACCUCAAUUCAAUGGGUACUCAUAAUUUGUGUUUGCCUUUUGAUUCAAAUGUCCAAGUUGGAUUAUAAAAUGGCCUGUCGAAAUUAGACUCAUGAAUAACACUCUUCCCAGAUUCCUUUCCCUUAGUACCCAAACUUUGCAUUUGUAUAUAUAUGGUGACAUUUACGCACCGCAUAUUGCUGAUCACAUUUUUCAUAAUGGUGUGAUUUGCGAACGACUCACUAGCAUGAUGAGUCUCUCACCAGAUUAAAAAUGUACAUUUUUCGAGAAAUGCGGUAACAACUUUGUGAGAAAUGUGAUUAAUAUACUUGAAUAAUUUUUGCUUCAACAGACUCUUCAAUUCGAUUAACGCAUAAUCAUGGAAAAGAAUGAAAAAUAGUAAAACAUGUGAAAAAUGUCUAUGUAUUUAUUAUAUGAAAAGAAAAAAAAUACAUGUUUUCAACAUUUUCAAGGUAGGUUUUGUUUUUUGAAGAGCCAAAGUCAACUUAUCAGUCCUGAAGAAAGAGAAAGAUAUUGCAACUUUGAUGACUGAGGUUGAAGAGGCUGUUGGAGAGAGUUUUUCUGAUGUGGCUCACCUAUUUUAGAUUCCAAAGCUGUUGAAGAGGUUGUUGGAGAUGCUUUUACUACAUUCUUACCCCAUUAUAUUGGUGGGCUCCACCUCUAUUAAAGAGGUGGUACACAAUGUGGUAUAAAAAUGUGAUAACCCUAACAUUACCCAUAUACAAAUAGUAUUAGCUUACUAUUAGCUAUAUGUACAUAGACUCAAUAUGAGCUUGAUGCACUCCUGAAUCCAUCAUAUAAAAAUAAACAAGGAAUCCUUACCUUUUUAAGAGAUGCACGUAGUUAUCAAUGUACAUAGACUUAAUUAUGAGUUUGAUGCAUUGGAAAACCUACAUAAACUCACGCAAUCUAUAAUAAAACUAACCCUAAGAAUCUUUCUUAGUCUCAUAUUUGUUUAAUUUUCCCAAGACGUUGUAAUUCCACAAUGGACUCACAUUGGAGAGUAACUUAUCUUCAUUGGGAUGUCAUUGUGACAGUAUUUCAGGACAAUCACAUAUUAUCAUAUGUCUAACUUUUUUACAUAUCAAUGUGUGAUUGACUUGAAGUACUGUCACUAAGUCAUAAUUAACAUUAAAAAAACACCAGUGAAAGUAGCAUACCCGUGGAAUAUGCUAUAGCUAGCUAGAAGCCUAUAACUUAACUGAUCGUAUAGUACCAGUUGUCUCGUCUCUUGUGUGAAAAUGAGACAUGAGGCACAGCUGUACAGUUUGUGCAGAUAGUUCAUCAUGGUAGGCAUGCGAGGCAAGCUAUAUAGUGGCCUCUUGGAAGCCAUGUAGGGGCAACUUCUAUAUUUUAUCAACACAUGGGCCGACUGUAAAGCAAUAUUACAAACCACCAAGGUAAGAAAAACUUUUGGCAGUUGUGCAUGGUUAAAGCUAGCCGAUAAAACUUUCACGCCACAAAUGCCAAAUGGCUCUUGAGAUGAAUAAAAUAGUGGUUUGUGUUCAACAAUGUCAGGGUGUUUGGGUUGGAAAGCUGAACACGUCUGUCUGCCUGAAAGUCUUAACAUUUUGUGUGAACAAGAAGAAGGGUUGAAGAACAAAUAUAUAAAACAAGAGCAAAGAUAGGUAAAAAGUUUUUCAAAUUGAACAUGAAUGGUGGAGAAUGAGAGCAACUGGUCCUCCACAGAUCCAUGUUGCUUGACGUAUAUUAUAUUUCUUCAACUUGUUAUAAUAUGAUUUCAGAAGUAAUGCUUGCUUGUAGUACCCAUGAUGCUUUCGGGCUCAGUUUUCUAACUUUAAAUCAUCACAAGUUAGAAAAGAUUGGAUGGCUGUGAAAUGAGAUCUCACCACCGAUUUCUAUGGUUCUAUUGCAUUGUAUCAUACUUUAUGAUUUCCCAUCUCUCCCGUUGAUUAAAAAAACUAUAUAUAUAUAUAUAUAUAUAUAUAUAUAUAUAUAUAUAUACUUUAUGGUUAAAGAGAAGUAGAAAGGAGACAAGUUGCAUAUUAAUGAACGGUUUGCAUGGGACAUGCAAACUGUUGACAGGCCAUCCUACGACCCUAAUAGUGUAUAUUUAUGUCAGUUUGAUGUUUCCAUGAGUUUCUGGCGAGUAUGAAUUUUUCUGUAAGGGAGAGGAUUUGAAUUUGAGACCUUGUACGAUAUUAUAAGGAGAAGGAGAAGUACCUAAACUAAACGUUAGUUGAUGGCGGGCGGCUUAGGUGCCUAUUACUUUUUCAUUUUAUUUUGGAGAAAAAGGAGGGUGAAAGUCUAACUAUUGUCAUGAGUACAAGGUUAUGCACCACUGGAGGCAAAGAAAGAUUAUUCUGUGUGGUGACCCCUUUUCUAAAUUGAAAACAAUAUGAAACUUUUGUUCCUCACAUUCUGGAAAUCUACGUAUUGUUGUUUGCUUGAUGCUUGAUGUAUAUGUUAAGUUAGCCUGUAUUCUAAUUAUAUAUAUCAUGGCAGUUUUUAAAAUUAAUUAACACACUGUCAACAUAGUCUAGUCCAGUGAAAAAAGGGCAUUGACUUGUAGUGGUCUCAAAUUCGAAUCCCAUAAUACUUUGAUAGUGUGUAUGUGAGAAACUUCUCUCCUCCUUAUAUAAUUUAAACUAUCGUUUGUAUUACACAAAAUAAUAAUUAGCACACUACUUGAGAGAGAGAGAGAUACUUAUAUAUGACCAUCUUAAUUUUUGUACUAAUUUGAACUCAAAAGGUUCUCAGUAUCUCAUUGGUCGGGAGUUGAGCCUCAGCAGUGCCCUCCCCUCUAUAAAUACCCGCGCAGAGGGAAGUUUCUAAGCAAACUCGUAUGCUUACAGUUGACUUGAUUCAAUUUAAGCUUGCUCUAAUUGAACUAGCUAGUCUAGCACUUGCUUGCAAGAUUAGUUUGAUUCAAAACUCUACGGGAAACUUCUGUCCUAGUUACAUCAAUUCCAUCAUCUUUCUUUCACCUUUAGCUCUCCCUCCCCACGAUGGCUUUAAACAAGUUAACCUUCAUUUCUUGCUCUCUCCUUUCCCUACUGAUCAUCUUAACAUGGGAUAUUCAGCCUAUUGAUGCAAGGCCUUUGAAUUCAAGGAGUAAAAACGAACUCCGAAAUUUCCAAACACACACCAAAACCCACCAAAACAAGUUGGAGAACAAUGUAGAUCAUAUUAAUGACUUUCAUGGUAAGAACCCAACUGAAGCUUCAACAACUGUUGUGGCAUCUCCGCCUCCACCACAAGGUGGUCAGGUUGGUGGGGCAGCACAACAGCCACCUCCCGCACACGGCGUAGAAGACUUCAGGCCCACAGCUCCAGGUCACAGCCCCGGCGUUGGACAUUCCAUUGAGAACUAGGGCAUCUAUGCUAUCUAUCCCCCAUUAUAUAUCUAUGUGUGUUAAAGAUGCCCUAUAACUAUAUAUAUAUUUAUAUGUAUGUGUUCUUGCGUGUCUACCAUUUAUGAUCAGGUACUUGGCCAUUCAUCUAUAUAGCAAAAAGAAACGGCCUCUCUAGUGGAAAAUGGCCUUGACUUGCAGACUAGAGUCUCAGAUUCGAGCCCGCAUAGUAUCUUGGUUGUGUGUGUGAGAAACCCCUCAUUCCUCUAGUUUAGACUAUCGCUUGUACUUUCAAAACCAAAGGCCCUCCUGAAGUUUGUACAAAGAUUUGUAUUCAAAUGUAAUAUUAAGUGAUGAUUUAAUGUAAUUUGUAUUUAAUUGCUUGUUAAGUUCUCAAUGAAAUUUCUGGUUUAAUUUCAAACUUAUUCUCUUAUAUAUAUAUAUAUAUAUAUAUAUUAAUCUAAUCAAUAGACUAAUACAAAGAAAGUAGUAGAUUAUUUUACAAAGAUACCAUAUUCCAUACCCAAAGGUUUGGAGAUAGUAAGGAACAAUUGAGUGUCAGAGUUUAUAUUACUUCUAAGUAAAAAGCAUAUUGCGCAUGAUAUAUAUAGUUACUAGUACUACCAUGCACAUGCCUCUCAUUCUUUUCCAGAAGCACCCUUUAUAAAGACUCAGCCACUCAGAUAUUUGGUCCACGAUCAAUUGUGGUAGCAACGCUGACCCAUGAAAUUGUACAUGUUUCAAGAGGUUCUUGAUGAACUACAUGUUUCAAUAAUUAGCUAUUUUUCUUUGUAUUUUUUUUUUUUUUGUGUUUUGACCCUUUUGCAGUCCCGAACGUUUUUUAUGCAUCUCAAAUACUGAACGGGAGUGAUUCCAAGUAGUCUUGAAUUCAAACUCAUAUAGUACAUGUGUAUACUAUAAGUUUUUCUCCCUCUCUCUCUUUUUAAUUUUGGCAACAACAAAAAAAAAGAAAAAGGAAGCGAACGGAAGUAAUUAUACACAUGUACACUUUGUUGGUGUUCCCCAAUUCCGUUAUGAAGAGGUUAUUGUUGAGAUUAUGAAAUUUCACAUAGGUAUUCUAAAUCUCAUGAGUGACGUCAUAAUUAAUUAAAAAAAAUCUUGGUCCUCUAAUACUCUACCAAUUAGUUUAGCAUUAGAUCAGUACAUGUCAGGUUUAAUUUGGCUACAUGUUUUUAAUGUCACCUAAUAUUCAUAUACGUGUUGAGAAUGCAAAUUGUCGCAUCACUUAUACUAAGCCUAACAUUCCAAUUGUGACAGAAUGAGAUAGGAGCUCUAAUUAGGAAAGGUAUAUAUUGUGGAGCCGGAAACUUUUGUUAAAUGAUAGACGGAUUUAUUAGCCGAUUGGAAUUGUUUCUGUUUAUAAUUAAACUCAUUUUAGUAUGAUAUAUUAUACAAAAAUCUAUAUAGUGUUUAUUUGAAGAGAAAAACUCAAAAUUAGUCACUUGUCAUUUUCUAAUUGAUUUUUAGUAAAAUUUUGUAAGAACGAAUUAAAAAAUGACACCAUAAAUUAUGUUCAAGAGAGGGUUCUCUAAAGGGACUGAUCAAUCAGAUAACUAUUGUUUCACACGAACAUUAGAAAGUUGUUAAGGUUCAGUUUAAAUAAUUAAAAUGGAUCAUAGUAAUCAUAUGUGGUAAUUGAUACGUAAAAUAAAAACAAUCAACCUCAAUACGGUGAAUAGGGAAAACAAUUUAAUUGAUUUGCUUAUAAUGGAUAGAGGUUGGAUGUGGAAUUUACAUUUUCUCAACACGCCAUGAGGCGUCGAAUGUGACCAUUAUUAUAGGCUUCAAACAUGAAUUGUCUUAUCUAAUAUCAUGUUCAAAAUUAGAAUAUCCAACUCAAAAUUAAUAAACAAUAUAAGUGAAGAAAGUCGAUACUAUAUAUUGUGAUAUGAAAAACUCAACAUUCCCCAUUUAGUUAAGAUUUAUUUUCUCAUCAUGUGGUGAUGGCCAUGAAUGUGGUGGAAGGCAAAGAAAAACAACUCAACACACACCCUCUGGUUUUCUCAUCGUCAUGGUGCAUUGAUUUGUUCUUCAAUUCGAUACACAAACUUUCAAGUUCCAUGGCGGAAAACCUCCAAGCAUAUAUACUAUGGUAAGAACCCCUACAAAAAUAUAUAAUUGUUCUUCACUUUUCAUAUAAGUUAACAAACAAUAUAAUUGAUCUCUUUCGUUUCCAGAAUUAUUCCUUCUAAUGUGACCGCAUAUUCCUUGUAAAGUAAUCCAGAGAGGUUGCAUGCUUGAUGGUUUCAAAUGGGCGCCGAAACAUUUUGUCUUAGCAAGCAAUUAAUAAAGUUUCAUUUAAUUAUUUGAUUAAUUACAUGCAUGUGAUGUGAGGGUUCACUGACCUACUACUUACUAACAAAAGAUAUCCUUCUCUUAAACAAUACAAUUAAUAAAAAAAUAUUCGUGCAACACAGCUAGGCUAGGACAACAGACAUACUCUAUAUCAAUCAAGUGCGGUUUGAUCUGUGCUAUAUUUAGUACAAUUUAAUAGUCUUGCUACUCAGUGGUAGAGGAAGGCAGAGAGAGAGAGAGAGAGAGAGAGAGAGAGAGAGAGAGAGGCUUUCCACAGAGCGAGGAACGAAUCCCAGCUAAAGCCCCUUUACAACAAGAUUCUCCAUUUUCAUUAUUUCCAUUCCUAAUUCCUAAAUGGAGGCGGGGGUGGAGGCAAUGAGGCAUGGCUUUUUGGAGCUCUCCUCUCAUCAUUUGCUUGAUUUUUGACCCUAUUACACUAAAAGGCAAUUAAAUGACUUGUUUUUGGACAAACUAAAGUGGUCUGGACCCUCCACGGCUUUGGGGUUCAGCAUUUACCUAGUGCUUUCGGCUUGACUUUUUUGGAUUCUUUCUUUGACCAUCUGUCUUCUUAACUUUAUUUUCAUGCCGACUAAUUAGUUGUAAAUGGGAUUUAAAUAAAAUCAAAAUCGACUGCCAUCAUAUAGGUGUCGAAUCGAUCUUGGAAUUUCUGUCCUCAGACAACCAUUGGUUGACGUUAAUACAUUUUGUUUUGGCCGGAUGCAAUCGAAGGACAAAAUUCAAAACCAACCCAUGAAAGAUCAUAAAACAACAUUCAUUCAUAUAUAGAAUCGGAAGGCAACUUUGCCACUAGUUAUGCAAUUUCAAAAGAUGGGAUGUAUAUAUGAUGCCCCAUUUGAACUUUCAAGUUUCAACCAUAUAUAACCAAUUUGGUUUAUGCUUGCACAUAACAAAGGUUGAAUUUUGCUCGUGUAAUGCAAUUGGUUGAUUGUUUGUUUAAAUUAUGUAAAACAUUUUAUGUCCUUAACACAUUCACAUUAUCACACAAAGUAUUGUAACUACACAUAUUCUGAAGUAGAAUGGUCGUAUAUGCAAUCUCUCUCUUUCUCUCUCACAUCUACCUAUUGUGAUGGGCAAUGGGUUCCACCACUACUUAAUAGGUACUCAUUUGCACCAAUGGUUACCCAUUGCCCAUCCCUACUGCUGCUCCACUAUAAAGACUUUCUCAAGUAGAAAGUUAUACAAGUUCGAAUAUCUCAUUCUUCAACAUUGUAAUUAAUAAAAAAUUGAGCAAAAUAUACAUGGUAUAAUUUUCAACGACUCAAGUCAAACCUAAUAAGAAAUUAUCAUAAGUACCAUAAUGAAAUUCCUAAGAAAUCAUAUUCGAUUAAAGAAGAUAACACCCAAUACAUGUUAAAUACGUUGCAAGGUUUUGAAGGAAAUGUGAUUUGGGACGAAAGAACCCCUUGAAAAGAAUCUGAUAAUCGAUUUAAGCAAACUCCCGGAAGUCAAACUUAUAUAAUAAUACCAGUUAAAGUUCCACACAGAAUCAUAGGCCGCAGUCAAAUGGUGCUUAUAAAAAAAUGAAAACUCAAAGAGAAAAGUUCGUAUCAAUGUAUGAUUAGUUAAGACCAGUUCAGUUUGGUCAAAUUUCGGCUCUUUUAUAAACCAUCCAUUGCUAACCAAAAACAGCUUUCUGAGUUAGUGCUCAGAAAUUAUUUGUUUAAAUGCACGAGUGCAACAGAUUGUAGUGCUUUCAGUCACAAUUACGCGCAUGGGGUACUAUUAUUUUUGUGUGUUAUAUAUUUAGAUUCGCAGCUUGAAAUGAUUGCUCAAAAUUCAUGCAUGGAAGAAAAAAAAAAAAAUUUCAACUGCGAAAUGAUAAUCUGAAGACCUGUGCCUGCUGCUGUCGAGACUUGUUCUGCUGCUAAGGCUGUGUAAUCUUGAAGGAAAAAAAAAAACCAAAUGAAUUCUGAUAUUGCUUAAAUAAAGUAAAUUUAUUUAUGGUUAUAUAUACAUGAUGAUAAUAUAUCUCUCAAAGAAUCCAUUUGAAAGUUUUCACAAACCAUAAACAAAACAAAAAAAUUUCAAACCUGAUUAGUGUAACGACAGAUGUGCUUAAUUCAGUUGAAUGCCCGACAGAGUUUCUAAUGAAGGUUGUACCAUAGCUAGCCAUCCACAUAUAUAUAAUACUAUACAGAACAAGUGGGAUGGUACACAAGAAUCUCAAUCUCUUGGUGCAUUUCGGUGGUGGGGUUCUUGUUUUAUUCAACCUAAACUAAUCAUUUAGCUGUUCAAGUACCCCCAUUAAUUUUUUCUAAACAAACUUUGAUUGAUCAUUAGAUAACCGGCCCUGUAAUCUUGCUAAAGCAACACUUCAGCAUGAUGAAGGGUCACUAUACAAAUCAAGGGCGACUCUAGUUCAUGCUUGAAAAAACAAAAAAGGAGAAUGGUUAUUGUGAAAAUAACUUUUAGAUCGAGAAACAUUUGAAUAGGGACUUUCUUAUCACGUGGCAAACUGAAUAACAUGCACUACUAUUUAGUUAAAAUAAUAUAACAUAUUUUACAAUUAUAUUUAUAAUUUAAAUUUCGUAAGUACAUGUUUUAACUGAAUAGUAUGUGCCAUUUUUUCUACCCAUGACAAGGAAGUGGAUCAAAAUCUUUCUCCUCCUUAUGCAAUGCAAGUCAAAUUGGACUUUUCUUUAUGAUAAUAGUAUUUUGUGUAUCAAGAAAAGAGAGAUAAUGUAAGAAAAGAAAGAAGUAGCAAUGGAGUAUCUAAUUAUGGAGAUUGGACAAAGAUCUUUGAAAAAUGCCAAGUGAUGUACUAAGCUACUCUCCUAAUUAGGAGAGGGCCCCAUAAAGGUUUAUGGCAUAGAAUUAGAAACCGUCCAAAUUGAAAGUUCAUGCAACCACUAUUUUGUUUAUACAAUUAUAAGUAGCGGUUAAGAUCCUCACUGGGUUUUAUAUAAAUACGUACCUAGAUGUGAAUUUAUUAUCAUGUGUGUUUGCUUCUACAUCUCUCAUUCCCUUUUCAUUUCUCUUGCAAUUUGAGCACUUCUUCAAAUAUACACCAACUUUUCUUAUAAAACCAUCUAGUACAUUAAUCUCUUUUCCAUUAGUUAUGGAAGCUAAAUGUGCUUUUCUUCUUGCACUAAUUGCAUGCUUUGAAAUUGUGUGCAUUGAGGGCAGGCCAUUUUGGCCGAAGAACAAAGAGUUGAUCAGCACAAUUGAAGCUAACUCUAAAAGGGAAUUGGGAGAGCAAGGCAGCCAACCCACACCCCAUCACAUUGCUAGUCCCAUGGCACCUGAUCAUGAUUCAAUUUCAGGUACUCAUGCAGCAUAUACAGAUGAUUUUAGACCUACAACACCAGGAAACAGCCCUGGUGUUGGUCAUAAAUUCACACACACAAGAGAGCAACCAGCAACAGCUAGGAAAUCUGUUACUGCAGGAACAAGGCCCACAGCACCUGGUCACAGCCCUGGUGUUGGCCAUGUUGUUCAACUACAAAAUGCCAAACCAAGUCCAUAGACACAUGGCAAAGGGGUUUGUGGCUCAGUUGGUUAAGAGCAUUUACCCUUGCACCCAAAGUCCUAGGUUCGAUUCUCCUCUACCCCAAUAUUAUUUGUAUAAAAAUAAAAUAAAAAAUCCAUGGACACAUGUAGGGGUUUGUCAAUUAUGGGGUUUAUGUUAUGUAAAUGACCAUUAAUUUAGGCUCUCAGUUAGGCAUGUCAAAAAUAAUUAUCAUGCUCUUCCUUGGUUUCAUGUUUCAAUAGAAGUAAUGUAAAGGUAUGUAAGAUGCUUGUCCAAAAAAUAAUUGGCAUGUAAUUCUUUGUAUUUAUGUGUCACGUGGUAGUGUCGGGUUCGAACUCCCAUGACAUUGUGGUAAUGUGUGCAUGAAAAACUUAUCUUCCCCUGUAAUUUAGACUAUCACUUGUACUAAAAAAAUUAUGCCACAUCAAGCUUCUUAUGCAAAAUAAAAGUGUCAUUGUAUAUUUCUCUCUGUUUUACUACAUGUACACUGAAUUAAUCCGACUUGGAUAGAUAUAGUGGAUUUCACAUGCCAGAUUUCUGUACACAUGUUAAUAGAUUAUCAAUCUAGUAUAACACAUAAAAGGAAAAAAAUAUAUAAUAUUUUCAUAUUAUAAGUCCACAUAUUGAGCAUACAUAAUCAUUAUUUAAUAAACUAUUAUCUUCCCGCAUACAUAUAAGUUGUGUAUGUUUUUAAUUAAAAAAAAUAAUUUAAGAGAUAACAAUUUUAGUUGUAUUGGCCCUUUGUGGCUAGUGGCUUUUUCAGCUGAAUUAUGAAUGCAAUUCCAAAAUUUUUAUUUUAAAAAAAAGAUAGUUACACUAUGAAAAAUAAAAAUAAAAAAGUGCACGGCCGACAUUUAAAAAAGUUACUUUUGCAAUUGAAAUAUGAAAGUAAAAAAUAAAUUUCAAUCUUCCCGUAUAAUAAACAAAGUAAAAGAAAUUAAUAAUAAUAUAGAGUGCUGCAUCUUAACCAUAUAUACCUAAAAUUCACAAAUACGUAUACUCCACUCCACAUGAAGGAAAUCUUAAAUUUAGAAGAAAAUUUGAGAUGCAGCUGGGAUCUCAGUUUCAUGGGGGAUCAAGGAUGAAACCUUGAGAGGAGAGGAGCUAUGGAGGAGAUGCGAUGCAGGCUCGAUUUUAUGAAUAAGAUGAGGGUUGUCACUAAUUGUUUACAAAUUAACAUAAAACUAGGUUAACAAAUGUAUCAGUUUUUUAAUAAAUAAAAAAUGGGUUAGAAUUUUGCACCAUGAAAAGCAGGUCGAGCUAUUGAUCAACCAAAGAAUCAUGAUAGGCCGGACCAUAAGACCAAAUUUUAGUCAAGAAUGAUAUGAAUCGAAACCAGAUACAAGGAGAACAAUAUGCAAAAAGUUAGGACCACAAGUGAGAGCAAAAGGAAAAAAUAAAAUAGAAAGUUAGGAGGACCACAACAUAUGAAGAGGGUAAAACUAUCUAUUUCCAUAUAAGGGAGGGGACAACUAGCCUUAGGUCCUAUGGACAGAGAUGUAAUCACUUUUCUUUUUGUGGAAGCUUAACAACAUAAAAGCAAUUCCUAGUAUAACACUUUACACACUGGAGAAUAAAGUAUCCAACAGCAACAGCCAAUCAACCCCUUUUUCCAUAUUUACAUUAUAUUGAGAGACAAAAACAUUAUUUAAAAAAAGAAAAAACAGAGAAUGCAACCUGCAAGCGACAGAAGCCACAUGAAAGCCAACACCUAAUGCCCUACUUAUUUCGAAAUCGAGAGGCUGAUAAAAUUAACAUUGAUAAUUUGGUCACCUCCAUAUAUGAAUGAAAUUUGAUAGCAUAAAAGUACUUGAGAGGCGCUUUUCCAAAAAUCACUUUUAUAACACAUAAAUAUUUCAAUGUUUUUAUUAAAUACAGUCAUAAACGUUUUUAGUUGUUGAAAACUAAUUUUAACUCUUCCAGAAGUACUCCAAAACAAAUCCAAAGAUAUAUUUGAAUAGGGAAUUGUUAACUAUAACUAAUGAACUAUCUUGUUCAAUAUGGUUUAUAUUAAGUGAGACCGAGCUUUGUUUGUUUGAAUUUUAAUUUUUUGGCAUAAGGAAAGAUAAAUGGACGUUGCCACAUUGGUAUCUAUGCAUGUUCCUCAAAAGCAGGAGCUCAAUUUGUCUAGGAAAGUAAUCAAAUUGAUUGAGCCGCCACAUGCAUAGCUUAAAAGUUACAACCCCUUCCCUUUUAUUCACCUUGAAGAAGUUAAAAAAAAAAACAUAAAAUAUAGCCAGCCAGCCAGAUCACACAUGAUUUUGCCUAGCCUAAAUGAGCGUGACAUCUGAUGCUAACCCUUUCAAGCCAAGCCCUUGGUUGGCAUCUUCAAAUUUGGCAGCCGCAAAGUGGAAAAGAGUCACUGAAUCCUACUAACUAUGUGUGUGCGCCCUCUAUAUAUAGCCUAGAUUCUUGAAUUAUAUAUCACACGAUAAUCAAAGAGAUUAUAUAUAGUAUAUUAGAACUUUACCUUUACUUGCAACUUGGCGAUUGUAGACAAAGGGAAUCACAAGAUAUAUAGAAAGCUGCAUGCAGGGAAUUUAAAUUAAGAGUCAAAAUCGUCUCCAUGUGCAAGCCCCUAGCUAUAUAUUUUAGUCUUUUACAGUUGUGAUUGCCAUAUAGUAUAGCUGCCUUUUGUAUAUUAAUUCUACUAAGAAUCUUAUGGCAAGUGGCAGAUACAUAUGGUUACCUAUAACAACAAAAGUUAAGUAUUGUGAUGAGUUUUUUAAUUUGGGGCAUAGUGGCAUGGGUAGGCGGAAAGAAUCCCUCUCUCCACAUUCUUGGGUCAGGGGGGUGUGUGUGUGUGUGAUUCAAGUACCAACUUGUUCUUCUUCUUUAAUUUCUCUCAAUAAACAACACUAUAUGGAGAGAGAGAGAGAGAGAGAGAGAGAGAGAGAGAGAGAGAGAGAGAGAGAGAGAAGUAAAAAUGUAAAAAGAUAGUUAAAGAUGAUGACAGAAGAUUUUAUUUGUAAUUGAGAGGCAAUAGAAACCAAUUCAGUAUCUGCAUGUAUCUGAAUGUCAGAGACUGAGUUAGGAAUAUACUUAAUGUCAAUGUCGAGUGCUAAUGUUCUGCAUAAUUCUCAUCAUAAUCAGAUGCAUUUAACAUGCAUAAUGUUAUUAGUAUUUUAAUGUUAUUGUAGACAUUAAUUCUUGUCACCUAAGCGUGACCUGCAAAAGUGAUUGUUCUAUAUUCUCGUUAAGGUUAGAAAACUAACUACAUUGUAAACUGCUUCUCUAAAAUGUGAAAAAGCUAGUCUGAAUUAGAACUUAUGAGCAAAAAAGAUGAUUUGAACUUAGUAUCUACUGCUUAGUUCUCAUUCAAUAUCAAUGUCAUAUGAGUUAGAACUCAUGAACGUGCUUAUUGUACAUCCCACGUGAACUACCCAUUAUAAAUUUGAUUAUAUAAUUACUAAAUUGUGAGAGCUUAACAUGAGAGAGAGAGAGAGAGAGAGAGAGAGAGAGAGAGAAGGCUUCAAAUGAGUACACUUGCAAUAUUUAAUUUCUUUGCUAUAGUGCAUUCACGUUCUCCAAGGAUUCUUCCUUAAUGUUUGGGGCUUCGUUUUAUCUCUAGGGUUAGUUUCACUUUUCUCGGUUUCUUUAAUUCUGGGAGUCCAUCCUUAGCUGUUCACCCUAUAAAUACCCGUUGAGAGGGAAUUAUCUUCAUAAGUCUCUCUCCCCUUCUCUAAGAGCUUGAGUUCAUUAGAGUAUACCAUAUACUAAGCCAUUUUAUAAAGUCUUAGCAUAUAUACAUACUUCUCAGCUCUCACUAUGGCCAAUGUCAGUUAUGCCGCUUGCUUAUUUUUUCUUCUAAUGAUUUUCUCUCAUGAACUGAUCUGUAUUGAAGGAAGGAACUUGAACGUAAGUAAGGACUUGAAGUGUGUGAAAUGCUUGAGCCCGGACCCUAAAACCAGUGCAGGAGAGGUUGAUGAAGAACACACUCUGGUUGAGAGCCCAAGCCCUGGUCAUGUAGAAGCUUUUCGACCCACCACACCAGGUCACAGUCCCGGAGUUGGCCAUGCUGUUCACAACUAGAGGCCUCAGCAUCAUCUUCGUAUUUGUGACAGUGUGUGCUUGUAUUAUUAUCUAGGGUUUUCAGUUCUCAGGCCAAAAAGAAAAAAGAAAAAAAAAAGUAUUUUACAAUUGUAUUCACUAUGGUUGUUUAGCUAGAUAGGUAUUAUGGCUUGUAUAUGUAUGUUCGCUUUUGAUUUAAUGAAUAUGCUUGGUUUCUAUUGUCUUAAGUUGUUGUCUCUCAAACAUUUAGAAUGUUCUGCGAAAAUCUCUUCAUAUGUAGUUGUUUGUCUUGACUCCCAACUUUAACCUUUUAGAUUCGGAUUUCGGUCGGGACGUUAUAUUGUAAUCUCUAAAACAACAAAAGACUCAUUCCUCCUCCUCCUUCUCCUCUUCCUGUUAUUGUGGAUGAAUGAAAACAAGCACGGUGAGAAAAAGGCUCAUAUGAAUCCAAAACCACCACGCUUAUUGCAUGUGUCUGCAUGGUGAGAAAGACAUGGACGUUGAACACAUGUAAUUAGAGGUAAUGGAAAUGUUGCUUAAUUAGAGAAAAAAAAAAGGAAAAUGGAAACGGACCUUUCUAAUUCCAACUUUCCAAGCCACACCCUCGAAAAGUCAAUGAUCAAACAUCUGGACCAAAUAGGGAAUUGCUGGGGUUCUCAAGGCUCUCUCUUCUAAUUUCUUUUCUACUAUAAGUUUGUUUGCCGCAAUCCUCAAUUAAAUUGCCUUUUCUUGCAAUUUCAGUGUAGAUAUCAAAACAAUAUUGGCGGGCCUAUACAAACCAUCAAAUCAGAUUAUAAGUACAAUAACUACUUACUUGUUUUCUAUUUUUCAAAUUACAUUGUCGAGGUGCACAAUAAAUCUAGAGAGCAUGCAUUUUUGUUCUAGCCAAAUUAAUUCAUCUGACUGACAACACCUUCAAGACUAUCUAUCAUGUAGGGCUUGUUUGAGAGUAUUAACAAGCUACAUAAACAAGCAUUCAUGCGAUAUAGAGGGCGCCUCUCUCUCUCUCUCAAGUUUUUUUUAAAUACAUAGCGAUCUUAGGGGGAGGAGGGACUCGAACAUAUGGCCCACUCUUUAGAUAUGAGUAUAUAGAGGUGAAAUUGGUAUUUAGGUGAAAGGGGUAAAUCUAAAAUCAAUUAGACAGAUCUACAAAAAGGAACAAGGUGAACCUAGCAACAAUAUGAGUAGUCAACAACUAGUCAUAGACUCUCAAACACACAGUUAACAAACAAUCCACAAUCGAUCAAUCAGUAAUAACCUACAUAUCUAGAAGAUAUUUAUGUGACAACCUCAGCACUCAUAAUAAUCCGUCAAUCUAGGCAUCCCCAAUGCUAGCAACAACUGUGGUGAACAAUGUGUGUGCAUCCAUUCAGAAGUUGCAAGAGUAUUAAACAAAGGAUGACUAGUCAAUUAAUCAAAAACAAACACUAAAAAAAUGUUCACGAAGAAACCCCUCACUGGGGAAAACAGGAGGUCACCAUCCGACCAGGAAAUUCACUAAGCAUAAAAGAUUCUUACAUAGAACACACCAAGAAGCUUAUAGCUGGCAAGGUUAAAGCUCACGUGAGAAAAAAUAAUAAUGUGGAAAUAACACGUGACAAAUAAAUGAUAAUUUGUCAUGCAAAAAGUAAACUUUUUAAAAAAAAUUAACUAGCCAUACAAGAGAGAACCCUACAAUGCAUGGAACGCAAACAUAAAUGAAUUACCUUCAAUGAGCUUUGAAUGCAUUGAGGCAUACUGUGAAGUUGAAGCACUAACUUAGACUAGUCUAGAUUCUUUGAGCUUGAUUGAAUACAUAAGAAAUUUAGAUAAACAUAACCUAACAAGAGGAAACUUUAAUGAGAGAGUUUGAGAACCGAAAUUCAUUCCCACAAUGCAAUUCAUGGUUAAGAAAAAUGAAACCUAACUGUUCUUAACCACUUAAGCUACAAAUCAAUUAUUGUAUAUGAGUUUCCCUCUCUUUAUAUAUGAGUAUAACGAGGAAAUUUUAAUGACAGAAUAUGAGAACCGAAAUCCAUUCACACAAGCCAAUCCACGGCUAAGAAAAAGGAGGCCUAAAUUUUUGUGGAUAUAUACCUUGAUUCUUGACCUAGUACAAACAAGAUAAAUCGUGCUAGGUUAUGUAAACGACAUGACCUAAGGCGUUUCAUACUGUGUCUUGCGCGUGUUUGAAACUAAUUUAUUACAUCUCUACUAUUAUAAAGCUAAACCCUAACCUACGGUGUCACAAGCUUUGAAACCAAAAAAACAAAAGAAAAGAAAAACCAAUAGCACCUCACAUACAAAACCGAAAGAAAAAACCACCACAAUGCGUAAGGAUGUUAAUUUUAAAUUGAGCCAAAAUAAAUAAAUAAAACACAACAGAAAAGACCACCACAAUGCCAGGAGGUUAUGUAAAGAUAUCAAAGGUCCUAAUUCUGCCACAUGUCAGAAGAUUGAAGAAGAGAGUUGUUGAAAUAUUGUUAAGACUGUUAGGCAGUUUUAGAGUUCUGUUAAAGUAGUUAGAAAGGCUAAGAGGUUAGAAACGUGUACACAAAGCUUUGUCAAGCUAGUAUAAAACCGAUUACUGUACUGUGUUGAAUAAUCAAGUAUGAAUACAUCAAUUCUUCUUCUAAGAUCUCUGCUUUUCUCUGUUAAACUCUGUUCAAUAUUGCUAUUCUCACAUGGUAUCAUCGCCAUAGUACGAUCCUGAGCUUCCGCAUUCCUUUUCUUUGCUGCAAUUUCUGUUCUUCUGUCUCUAUCCUCUCUUCUCUUCUUCUUUGUUCAUUCAUCGAGCUUCUUUCCCUCUUCAACCCCACUAUUCCCUUUCGUAGUCUUUGCUCUGCCUACCACCUGUUUGUUCUUUUACCUCACAGAAACUUCUGCUUGUUCUAUUGCCCAUUUCUUUUCUUCUCAAACCUAUUAUCUUCCUGAAUACUCAUCAUGGUGACUGCUACUCAACUUCAAAUUGUUCAAUCUCCGAUUACUACCUUAAUUCCCACUGUCUCUACUUCUGUGACAGUUAAGCUUGAUGAUGCAAAUUAUCUCACUUGGAAUUUUCAGAUGCAGCUUCUUCUUGAAGGUCAUGGCUUAUUGGGGUUUGUUGAUGGUUCACGGCUGUGUCCUCCUCGUUUUGAUGAAGAUUCUGCUGUUGAAGGUGUGGAAACUGAUGCUUAUGCAGUGUGGAAGAUGCAUGAUCGUGCCUUGAUGCAAUUGCUAAUUGCCACCCUUUCUUCUGCUGCAAUCUCAUAUGUCAUUGGGUGUACUAGUUCUCAUGAUAUGUGGGUUCAGUUGAAGGACAGAUUUUCUAUGGUUACCAAAGCUAGGAUUUUUCAGAUGAAAAGUGAGCUUCAGAAUAUCAAGAAGGGUGCUGACCCAGUCUCUCAAUACUUGCACAAGAUAAAGGAUGCUAGAGAUCAUCUUGCUGCUGCUGGGGUUUCUUUUGAUGAUGAUGAUAUUGUCAUCUUGGCUCUUAAUGGUCUUCCCCCAGAAUAUAAUACAUUUCGGUGUAUGGUUCGAGGCAGGGAAAAUGUGCUCUCUCUUAAAGAUUUUAGAUCUCAGUUGCUUGCUGAAGAGGCCAUUCUUGAACAUACUUGCUCUGCCACUCCUUUUGCCUCUGCAAUGAUGGCGAACAAUCAAUCAUUCCAAGGAACAUCUCUUGUUCUUGCUGACACUUCCCCGUCUGUCCCAUCUUCUAUUUCAUCUAGCCACAAUGGUGGUGUUCAUGGUGGUCUCAAUGGAGGUGUCCACUCUAGCUCUAAUGGUGGCUCUUUUUCACAUAAUGGUGGUUUCCAAUCUGGCCCUAAUAGAGGUUCCUUUUAUCGAGGAAGAGGCAGACCUCGGCAUCAGUUUUCUUCUAGUCCAAGACCGUAUCAAGCUCCACCUAAUUCUGGCCCUGGCAUCCUUGGUUCGGGUACUGAUAUUCCAACUUGUCAAAUAUGCAACAAGAAAGGUCAUCUUGCUGCUGAUUGUUAUCAGCGACAUCAGCAAUUCACAAGUCCUAGUUCCUCUGUUCAAUGCCAAAUUUGCUGGAAGUAUGGCCACACCGCUAUUCAGUGUUACCACAGAGGCAAUUUUUCCUAUCAAGGCAAACCUCCUUCAUCCAAUCUUACUGCAAUGCAUGCCGACUGUUCUCCUUCCUCAUCAGCUGAGCAAUUUUGGGUAGCUGAUACUGGAGCAACAGCCCAUAUGACGUCUGAUUUGUCUCAACUCAGUCUUGCUACCCCUUUCUUAGGAAAUGAGACUAUCACCACUGCGGGGGGUUCAGGUUUGAGUAUUUCUAGUGUUGGCUCUUCUUCUUUGAAUACUCCUCAGUGUUCUUUCCAAUUAUCGAAAGUUUUGCAUGUGCCAAAGAUAUCUCAGCAUUUGCUUUCUGUGCAUCGGUUAUGUAAAGAUAAUAACUGCAGAUUUAUAUGUGAUGCAUUUGGCUUUUGGAUUCAGGACAAACUCACGGGGAGUGUUCUUCUCAAGGGGCUGUGUAGAGCUGGCCUAUAUUCAAUUCCUUUCUUUCCUUCACAGCCUCAUCCUACUCCAGCUGCUUCUCUCCUCAAACAACAUUUCUGCUUUCUUGGACAUCCAGUAAACACUAGUCUGUGGCACAAGCGAUUUGGUCAUCCCUCCAAUAUCAUUACUACUGCUCUUUUACAUCAAACACAGGUUCCUUUUUCUUCAGACAAAGUCCAAUCUAUCUGUCAUCAUUGUUUAGAAGGCAAACUAGCUAAACUUCCUUUUCAUUAUCCAGCAGUAAAAUCUGUCAAACCUUUAGAGGUGAUUCAUAGUGAUGUGUGGGGUCCUUCUCCAACAAUAUCUGUUGAGGGGUUCAAAUAUUAUGUUAGCUUUGUAGAUGAGUGUACUCGAUUUACUUGGCUCUUUCCAAUGAUCAAUAAAGCAGAAGUUUACUCUAUUUUUGUUCAUUUUCAUGCUUACUUAGUCACUCAGUUCUCUGCUUCUCUUAAGGUUUUUCAAAGUGAUGGAGGUGGUGAGUAUCUUAGUCAUAAAUUUCAACAUUUUCUUCUUGCUAGAGGUAUCAUUCAUCAUAAAUCAUGUCCCUAUACACCUGAACAAAAUGGCUUAGCUGAGAGAAAACACCGACACAUCUUAGAGACUGCUAUCACUUUAUUGCAAACUGCUCAUUUACCACCAAAAUUUUGGUUUCAUGCUUGUGCUACUUCAGUCUACUUGAUCAAUAGGAUGCCUUGUAAAACUCUUCAUUUAAAAUCUCCUUAUUUCUUAUUGUUUGGAUCUGCCCCAGCCAUUACUCAUCUAAAGGUAUUUGGCUGUGCUUGCUUUCCUUUGCUCAAGCCUUAUAAUACAAACAAACUUCAGCCAAAAACUUCUACUUGUGUCUUUCUAGGCUAUGCAGGACAAUAUAAAGGCUAUAUUUGUUUUUCUCUCCUUACCAAUAGACUAUUUGUCACUAGACAUGUCCUAUUUGAUGAAACUAUGUUUCCAUUCACAUCUGUCCAUCCAGUAAGUAUCUCUUCAUCUCCGUAUCUCCCUUCCUCUUCUCCUCCUCCAUCCAUUUCAUUCACUAAUACUGUCUUAUCACCUCUCUCUUCUCUUUCCAUUGCCUCACCUUCUCCUUCCACCUUUGAAGCCAAUGAACCUUUGACUACUUCCCCUUCUGCUACACAUUCAGCUACACAGUCUCCUCUCCCUGUGGAUCCUGAUUUUCAGCCUGAAAGUCUUCGUGUUGUCUUGCCUCUACCAUCUAUAAAUCUGCAUCCUAUGACAACACGGUCUAAAAAUGGCAUCUCCAAGAGGAAGGCUUUUUCUGCUUCUACUUCUACUGAUUUCUCUACAAUUGAGCCUAGUUCUUUCAAGGCUGCUUCUCAAUCACCGGAAUGGCAAUCUGCCAUGCGGGAGGAAAUUGAGGCUCUUCAUGCUCAAGGUACUUGGGAUUUGGUUCCUCUCCCAGCUCAUAAGAAUCUUGUUGGCUGUAAAUGGGUUUAUAGGAUCAAGAAGAAUGCAGAUGGUUCUAUUGCUAGGCAUAAGGCUCGCUUGGUUGCUAAGGGAUUUAGUCAAGAGGAGGGUAUUGAUUAUUAUGAAACCUUCAGUCCGGUAGUUAAACCAACCACUGUUCGAUUAGUUCUGGCUCUGGCCGCUCAGUUUCAGUGGUCCUUACGGCAACUUGAUGUUAAAAAUGCGUUCUUGCAUGGUGUUCUUCAAGAGGAGGUUUAUAUGACACAACCUCAAGGCUUUGAGAGUAAGCUUUAUUCUUCUGAUUUUGUUUGCAGACUCAAGAAGUCCUUGUAUGGUUUAAAACAGGCUCCUCGUGCCUGGAAUGAAAGAUUUACUAGCUUCUUACCAAGCUUGGGUUUUCAAGCUUCAACUGCGGAUCCAUCUCUCUUUCUUCACCAUUCGUCACUUGGUACUGUGGUUUUGCUUCUCUAUGUUGAUGAUAUCAUUCUUACUGGCAGUAAUUCAUCUCUUAUUGCAUCUGUAAUUAGUGCUUUAACUCAGGAGUUUGAUAUGAAGGAUUUAGGCCAAUUGACUUAUUUUCUGGGGCUCCAAAUUUCAUAUCAGUCUGCUGGCUUGUUUGUGUCUCAAACUAAGUAUAUCAAGGAACUGCUUGGCAAGGUUGAUUUGCAGGAUUCAAAACCGUGUCCUACUCCUUGUCUUCCUUAUCACAGACUCUUGAAAGAUGAUGGCAAACCUUAUUCUCAUCCAGAGCAGUAUAGAAGCAUUGUUGGUGCUUUGCAGUACCUCACUUUCACAAGGCCAGAUAUUGCCUUCUCAGUGAAUCAAGCUUGUCAAUUUAUGCAUAAUCCUAUGGAAUCUCAUGUUGUGGCAGUUAAGAGAAUCCUGAGGUAUUUGAAAGGAACCAUUGAUUUUGGCAUUUGGUUUAAGCCUGGUCUUCUUCAUCUGCACGCUUAUAGUGAUGCUGACUGGGCUGGGGAUCCUAAUGACCGCAGAUCUGUUUCGGGAUUUAUUGUUUACUUAGGCUCUAGUCCUAUUUCUUGGGCUUCUAAGAAGCAACAUACUGUCUCUCGUUCGUCCACUGAGGCAGAGUAUAGGGCUUUGGCGAUUACGGCUGCUGAACUUGCAUGGAUCAGACAGUUGUUCUGUGAUCUGCACGUUCCAUUACAUGUUCCUCCUUUAAUUCAUUGUGACAAUAUCUCUGCUAUUGCUCUCUCUUCCAACCCAGUGUUUCAUUCCCGAAUGAAACAUCUACAGAUUGAUUAUCAUUUUGUUCGAGAACGAGUCAUUCGGGGUGAUUUACUUGUGCAACAUGUCUCUUCUGCAGAACAAUUUGCUGACAUUCUCACUAAGGGGCUGUCUAUCCCUUUAUUCCAGCAUCAUUGUUCCAAUCUCAUGCUUGGCUCCUCCAAGCAUGAGAUUGAGGGGGCAUGUAAAGAUAUCAAAGGUCCUAAUUCUGCCACAUGUCAGAAGAUUGAAGAAGAGAGUUGUUGAAAUAUUGUUAAGACUGUUAGGCAGUUUUAGAGUUCUGUUAAAGUAGUUAGAAAGGCUAAGAGGUUAGAAACGUGUACACAAAGCUUUGUCAAGCUAGUAUAAAACCGAUUACUGUACUGUGUUGAAUAAUCAAGUAUGAAUACAUCAAUUCUUCUUCUAAGAUCUCUGCUUUUCUCUGUUAAACUCUGUUCAAUAUUGCUAUUCUCACAAGUAUUACUUAAAUGAAUCCGUCCCGUUGAAUAUGUUUAAUAUACCUGAUCCAACCGUCCAACAAAAAAGAAACUCAUUAGACUUCAAUCCAGAAAGCCACUUCAACAACCACAAGAGAGAAGAUCUUGAGCAUCUUACAAAUAUAUAUUCAACAAACCCAACUGUAUAGAUUAUAAUAAUAAAUCACUACUUAAUCGUCCUAAAACUGGGUUAGCUACACUAAUUAAUCGUAUUAGUACUAAUUGCUCUAGCGGGUUUUCUUUUUCAAUAUUGCCAUGAUGAACUGCAAAGUCUGCUGAGGAAUCUUUCUAGGUUUUGGUGGCUAAUGAUGGUGUUAAAAGCUCGCACAACAGAUUGGAACCGCAAAAGGUUUAUGGGGUCUUUUCAUUUCGAAAGUUAGGUUUGUCUGACCAAAAAGAAAUCAUAUCUUCUAUAUAAAUUAUAAUUACUUUGCUUGAAUCUGAACAUUUUGUGUACGCCGACGACCCCAUAAAUAUAUAUCUAACCUUUCUCCAAAUAGUGGAUCGUAGUUAGUGGGAGGGUUCAUUUAUAGGUGAAAUAGUGGGAAGGGCACCCCUUCAUUUUUUAAAGCCUCAAUGCAGCCAGCCCUCUAGGGUAUAGUUUGACAAAUAAAAGUGACAUUAUAAUCAACCCUGUGAAGAUCCAGAUCUCAUGCCAGUAUUGUAUGUCGAGCACUAGUCUAGCUCAUGUAAGUUGAGUUACAAAUACUAUUAGUUUGGAUGCUCUUAUGACUAUUUAUUUAUUCCGUCGUCGCUUAUUCAAGUUUAAAUUUUAUAUGGGCGCAUUUCAAGAAUAAAUAAUAAAAGGUUAUAGUAUGAGGGGAAUUUUGCAGAACAAAGCAUUAGGUCAAGGUGGGAAUGUUCACCUGAAGUUGGCUGCAAAUAUCGACAUCAAUCAAUCGACACCCUGUUUUUUUCGAAAAUAGGUUUGGUUUUUUAAGGAAAAACAAAAAAGACCAUGUCGGUAGGGGAGGCCAAUCAAAUGGUGGCACCGUGUUGACACAUGCGCAGACAUUUGCCCUUGUAAAUUCUGCUCUAUAUAUAUAAUAUAUGCAGGGGGUUUUUUAAGACAAAUUUAAAAAGUAAAAAAGAAAUUGAAGGGUUAUUUGAUUGCUUGGGCGGGCCAUGGGGGCAAACAGAAUAUAGACAACUAGCAUGUAGCGGGGGUGCAUUAGUUUUUGUAAUGAGAGGUUGGGCUUAAACAGUUAAUAUAAACCGUCCAGAGUACUUUACACUUUAGCUUUGCUUUUUUUGGUGAUUUUAUAUAUAUCUCACAAUCUGUGUGGAAUCUUCCCGCUCCUAUGGACCUGCACAUGCCUUGCCUCCUCAACCCGUUGAUACUAUUUCUUCGGGGGAGAGAGAGAGAGAGAGAGAGAGAGAAAGAGAGGCCGUUUGGCGCACUCAGCUCUUCAAGCCCAUAUAAAUACCACAGUAGAGCAAUAGGUUUCCAUACGCCACACUUCUUCAUCAAAACCCUCCAAUACCAUAUAACACCAAAUACUAAAUCUCUCUCUCUCUCUCUCUCUUCUCUGAUCUAUCUAAAUUUGCUUAAGAUGUCCAAGAUUUCUAGGCUGAUGAUGACCACCACUAUCUGUACUUGCCUGCUCUUUUUGAUAUGUUGCCAUGAAGCCUUGCAUGUGGAGGGAAGGCAUUUGAAGUUCGGGCCGAGCUCAAGGCAUAGUGAGAACAUGGUGAUGAGGACUACCACUCCAAGCACUAAUGAUGAUCACCGUAACGCUAGUGAUGGCCAUGGUUCGGUGCAAGCUGAUCAUGAUCAGCCAAGAAAGGUUGAACAUGUUACUGACGAUUUUCGACCCACGACCCCCGGUCACAGUCCCGGCGUUGGUCACUCUAUUAAAAACUGAUUUGUUUAGUCAAUAGGGUUUAGCCCAGUGGAAAAAAGACAUUGACUUGUACACUGAGUUUCAAGUUUGAAUCCCCACGACAUUAUAGUUGUGCCCUCUUCCCCUAUCGUUUAGACUAUCGCUUGUACUCAACCACCCAAAAACAAAAAAAAACUUAAUUGUUUAAAUUUAUCCUAGCUACCUAUUUCAAUCGAUCACAUGUGUUGUACCAUGUAUUAAUUACUUGGUCUUUCUCAAUGUAUAUAAAGAUCAUCCAGUUCCUCUCUCCACUAGUAUUCAAUUGAUUUUGAAUUUAGAUGUCUCAAUUAUGUCUGUUUUAUUAGCCGUUUUCUUCUAUUGUUAUGUUUAUCGUGGUAAAAUAAGAAAUGACUAAAAGUUAUAAUUUAACCUUACGCACCACCCUCCUAGUUUAAUUAGGAGUUAAUAGUAAAAAGGAUACAUCAUAGUGGCAGAUAGCCGCCACACCUCCUAGUUUAAUUAGAAGUUAAUAGUAAAAAGGACACAUCAUAGUGUCAGAUAGCCGCGAAUAAGAGUAAGAUUAAUGUACAACAAACUUUAAAACUAACAAAUUAACAAUAUAUAUAUACAAGUGAUAGUAAUCUAAAGUAUAAAAGAAUGAAGGUUUCUCACACACAGACUAUGUAAGUGUCAUGGAGUUUUGAAACUAAGACUAUUGCAAGUUAAUGCCAUUUUUCACUGGACUAUACCCUAUUGGUAUAAAACUAAACAUAGGUUUAAACAAGUUUAGCAAAAGCUAAAAGUGGGUUUAUAGAAUUAAUUCGAAACUUGGGUGGUUUGCUAACUUUGCUUGGUCCCAUGUGCAAUUAUAAACAAGUACGGUUCGUUAAGUUAGUUUAAGCACUAGUAAAGCUGACGAAUUAUGGCUAGCUUGACCCCACUUUGAGGUCGAUCUCUUGGAUUCUAAGUUUAAGACGAAAUUGACCAAAAACAAAAUAAAAGUGACAAAGAUGCACGAGAGCUUUGGUCCAAAGGACCAAAAGGCUGCUUAAAGUUAAAGUGUCGUUCCAAGGGGCCAAAAGGCUGCUUAAAGUUACGUUUGGUAGGUUUUCCAAACUGAUUGAUUAGGGAUUUGGUCUCACUCAGAGACAAUGGCUCGUGGGUUGCCUUAUAAAAUUUGCAAGUUGGAGCAUGCGCUCUGUACGGCGUUUUGAUUCGGUUAGUCUCAAAGAAAUGCUUAUUUAUGUGUUAAUGAUGCGUAAAUUAAUAUCUUUGUACCUUUCUUGUUCUUGUUCACUCUCUCUCUCUCUCUUUUUUUUUCUCUUUUUUUUUUUGGGGGUUUCAAACGAUAGAUAACUUCAAUUAAUCAACGGACGAGUUUACAUCAUGCUCAAGUUGUGGCAUGUACCGAUCAGUGACUGUUAAGGUGCAUGGUCUUGUUAGAACUAAAGCUAUAUAUAGAAGUUGUAGAUGUGGAUUAGCUUAGUUGGUUAAGACAGACAAUGUAUCUGCCUUUAUACUCAAAUUCGAAUGAGUUUUUUUAAUUUAAACCCUACACUUUUCUUUGUUCACUCCAAUACUUAAAUCAUUAAGCUCUUAAGUUUUAUUAUUGUGUAAAAAGACAAAAAAAGGUCAUCCAUCUUAAUACUUAAUCCUAGUACAUCUAUACAUACACCACACCACUCUUCAUAUUAAGUUUAAGAAAAACACAAACUCCUCUAUAACCUAUUGCCAUAUUACUCUUCUCUUCCAAUCCACUUCUCAAACCCUAAAUACGGUAUGCAAAUAGUGACUUGUGAGUCAUCAGUUGAAGUAUGUAAUGUGAGAUUAUUUCUUGGUUUGGGACUCCUCCCAAAAUUAUUGAGGAGAUUAUUUCUUACUCUAGGACUCCUCCCAAAUUAUUUCUUGGCUUGAGACUCCUCCCAGAAUUAUCUUCCUUGCCCUUCGGGCUUUUUGAAUAUGAUCAGUUCAAAGAACAAAAGAAGAAAAAAAAUACAAAGACAGAAGCAACUGGAUGUAGCUUCCUGAAACUUGUGCUGAAGCACCAGAGGGCAACUCAAUCUGAAAGAGCAACACAACACAAUCUGUUUUGAUUGGAUUGGAGUGAAUAAUCAAUGGAGUAAAUAGCUCAGUAGAGCAAUUAUAUUAAUCAAUGGAGUACAUAGCUCAGUAGAGCAAUCAUACAACAGAACAGAGUCUAUGUGACGUUUACUUGUGAUAUGAAGGACAAUGGUUGAUGAGGUUUUUAUUCAUCAAUGGUGUGGGGUGUGAGAUCUGAUGGAGUUGGGAAAAAUAUAAUAAGGAGAGCUAGAGUUACUUUAGGUUGUGAGAGAAGUGGGCAUCAUAUUAAGAAGCCUAAUGUAGAUUCAGAUGACGAAUAUUUGGGUGUGGUGUGUGGGGUGUGGGGUGUGAAGUUGAUGAGUUUUUUUUUUUUUUUUUUUUUCUGCUGGGUGUGUAUUUAGGGGUAGUUUUGGAAGAUAGGGGGGUUUUCUUAGAAAUUGUGAAAAUUUGAAUUAGAAGUUUGAGUGAACUUAGAAUAUGGAGUAAACAAAGAGAAGUGUGGGUUUAAUUCGAAUUCUCCUCCUUGUGAAGUAGAAUAAUUCAUUACGUUAAUUUGGUAAGUUGGGUUGAUUUUAUUAGUAGACUAAUUUUUUUUUUUUUUUUUACUUCUUCUUUCGAUAUAAACCAUAAGCAUUUAACUAUAAACUCUAAAUUAUAUACAAAAGAAUGUCGUUUUGAUCAUAAAGACAAUAUUGAUAAUACAAAAGACAUAUGGGAUCCCAUUUCUCCAUUAAUAUAGCUAGUAGCUACUGUGACUGUGAUGAUGACAGAUGAAUGAAUGCAUAGAAGUGUUAACACUAUUUUUCCCUUCACCAAGGCCAUAGAAGAAACAUAUUUUCAAGCAUAUCUCUGAGAGUACUCUAAUUAAGUUGGGAAUCUGCUAGUGGUUGUUGAAAGUUUAGCUAAUGUAUUGUCACAAUAAGAUAUCAGUAGUGAUCUCAGAUUGAGCAAAGUAAUCUCACCUAACCUUAUCAAAUCUCUUAGUUGAUGAUGAUCGAUCCUAGCUAUACCUUCUUAUUCUAGAAUAUGAUGAUAUCAAAAUGCACCAUUUCAAUUUUGGUUGCAUCAUCGCAAUCAAAUAUGUCCAUUACAUAGAAAUGUAGAAUUUUCUAAGUUUUAUUUUUAUAUCUGAGGAAUCCCUUCAAGGCAGGGCCACAUUGGACUCUCAUCCUUGUCAGGUAAACUCCAACCCCACAGUAUGUGUGUUAGUAAAUCAAGAACUUACACAACAGCAGUAGGAUUCGAACAGGUGACCUAUUAGUUUACAGUUGGCCCUCAGCUCGUCCGCCAUGGGGGCAGAAUCUUCUAGGUAUAAAUUUCAAAAUUUUCCCCAUUUAAUGGGCUUGAGUAAUAAGGCACCAAACAGAUCCUUCAUGUGAAACAGAAACAAGCCCAUAUUAAACCAGCCUUUUGUUGAAAGGCAAGGGAAAAGAUGAAGCCCAUGCCAUGAACUAUAAACACAAGAUGACCCAAAGGAAAUCAUGUUUGAACGUUUGUUUUCUCUAUACACACUAUGAAACUCUAAGUAAUUAGAUUUCUUUCUGUUGAUGUUGUCUAAGAAUGAGAAGUCUAACUUUUCCUUUGUUAUAUUCAAUCCAGGAUUAAGUGAGCUCAAGACAAAUCUUCAGAUUAUUUCGACAUUAUGAUAUGUUGAUGAUGUAUCAUUUCACCAAUUUGUAAGGUGCUCUUCGAGUCAAGGAAAGGUUGCCAAUGUUUUAAGAGAGAUUCACUAUUAUACCCAAUAUAAGAAACCAAAUUAUAUUUAAAAAAACAUAUAUGAAAUAGACUUUAGAAACACAUUCAAAGUUCAUUUACAACAUAACAAAAAGGCUUUUAACUUCUUAUAAUUUAAAAAAUUGCCAUCGAUUUCUUAAAAUAAGCCCAACCCCAAAACCUCAUAAAAAAAUCAAAACACUCAAUAGGACAUCAAAGUAAUUUAAUAAUUAAAAUUAAAUUCAAUAGGGUCAGCAAUCAUUUUUUGAAUUUUUUUUAUUUAUUUAUAGAAAUUAAAGGGUGUAGAGUUUAUCUAUAUCAUUAAAACUAAGAAUGAAUAUAUGACAAAAUAUCUCAUAUUUUUAAUAUCUAGUGUUCUAAAGUCAAGCCGCUCAAAUAAAAAGCGAUUGCGACAUUCUUACUUUUAGAAAAAGAGUGACCAUACAUUAUUAUUGCAAUGCCAACCACUAUUCCAAAUUCACCAGUUACAUAUUGAGCUUAAUAUUUCCCAAAACAGGUGAGUUUUUUCUCUACUAGCUAGCGAGAGGUGAAUAAAAAGCCUGAUGAUUCGUUCACAUGAUACAAAUAAUUUUAUUCUUCCGAACAAAAAUAAAUCGUAGUCUGAUUCGACAAACUAACGAGGCUGCCGAUAAUUAUCCACCUUCAUUAUCAGAUGAUGUAGUGGCAUGGGCUUCAAAAUUGUUCUUGUAUUCUUCGUAGCUAAAACUAACCCUGUAAUUUGGUGUCGGUGACUUGGGCACUGGUAAGCUCGAUCUUUUGGAGACGUCAAGUACUGUACCAUGAACCUCCUCAUGGUGAUUAGGAGGAUUCUGCACGCUCAUAGUUUGGCUUCGUUGCAUCCACAUCUCUCUUUCAGCUUCGCCAUUGAUAUUGAAGGUUUUGAAUUGCGCCUGUUUCUGCAUUGGCUUCAAUUGCCUCCCUUCAAUGCACAUAAUUUCAUUGCAAACUGCCAUCACUGCAAGAACCAUAAUAAAUAAGGCAAUUCGAUGAACUUCUGCCAUGUAAAAUGAACUUCAACUCUCUGUAGAGGCAAACCACUGAGGACAAAGAUCUGUCCUGACUCCUGCUACUUAUAUAGAGUACCAUCAAGCUGUUAUUUUCAUCCAUUCAUUAUCAAUCACUUCACUCGGGUCCAAACUCCUAUAUAUUCUCUUAAAUAAUCAUCAAAUAACGUCUCAAUCAAAGUACUAAAGAUAUUCAUUAUUGAAGUCUUGUUAAUGUGGGGACCACCAAUUAAUAAUAUGCAUGAAUUAUGCAUGCUCUUUUAAAAAUUUUAAAAAAAAUGAUAGUAUUUAUUGAUGAAACAUAAUAAGUACAAAGCCACGAAAGCGCUGAAAUGGGUACAGUAUCUCAAGUGACUAAACACAACAACAUGUUGAUAUGAUCUUGAGAGAAUUACGCCUAAACUAAUAAAUACUCAAACCCCUGAUUCAGCAACUCGACGCGCCUGUACUCAAACUAACAAUAUAGAUCCAUCGCGCAAUAGCAGAAACGACAUAUCCAUAUCGCAGUCAAAAAUUAAAAUACAAAACACAGCAAAUUCCUAAAGAGUUCAUGAGAAUUAAAAUAAAAUAAAGCAAACUCCUAAAGAGUAAUAAUAGACUAAAAUAAACAAAGAAAUAUGACCACCACUUCACAUCCUCUCCGGCAACCGAAAAGACCCAUAAGGUCACACCGGCUAAAUCCUUAGUGCCGCACUGGCUAAACCGCCACCCAUACAAACUGGCAACUUCCAUGAUUGUAACUCCAAACUCUGAACUAUAGCCAAAACCCUGCGUAUGUGGACCAAAAAUGAAGACUAAAUUAUGGUGAUAAUGGUGUUUUGCGAUGUCUACUUCAACAUCAGCUACAAACCAGCAUAGCAACCAUUGCUACCCGACCGACGUAGGCGCCGCCGCCUCUGCCUGCAACCAGAAACAAAAACAAAAACAAAAACAAAACAAAAUCCUUAGGCAGCAAAAAGCCUCAGAGCAUCCACAGUGGGGGGGUGUAAAGCCAUUUUUACAUCCCCUUUACAACCUCUAGGGGUUACUGUUCUGGUUUGCUCCAAUGAGAAAUAUGUAAAUCUAAAAAUGUAUAAUUGAUUUUUUUGUCUUAAUUUAUUUUUGUGUUAACUUUAUAAAAUUAAUUUUGUAAGUAUUAGAUUAAUUUUAUUUGGGGGGGGGGGGAGGGGAGUGGGGAAGAUGACAACCAAAAAAUGGGUAUGCAUAUGAAUUUUGGUCCAAUAACUUUUUUGUUGACUUUUCUUCACUUUAUCUCACCUUUUUGUUUCAGCUGGGUCACACCUACAACAGAUUUAAAAAAAGAUGUACAUGUACAUCUACAUUUCCAUCUCAUGGUGAUGAUGUAAAUUUACACUUAUUUACACCUCCCCAUUGCAAAUGAUUCCAAUCACAAAAGGUGUAUAUUUAACAUACACCCCAUUAUACACCUCCCCCCCCUCCCCAAUUGUGGAUGCUCUCAUCACAAACCAAAACUCAAAUCCCUAGCAUAUGAGGAAAUAGAGAAGGAAGAGAAAAGGGAAGAGGGGUUGAGAGGAAAGAGAGAGGAGGAAGAGGUGAGGAAAAAAUAAGGGAGAUGAGGGUAGGGGAGGAGUGGCAAAAAGGGUGUGAGGGGCUAGGGUUUUUUCACUAAGAGCGCUAUAAUUAUGCAUGCUCUUAAACCCUAAUGAAACUACCAAUACUACAUUAUAAAUAGUUUAUAUACCAACAUCCCGAGUGGAACUAACUAUAGACAUGAGGUUGCCAUGGUCCUCUACAGGGAUAGAGUUACACACAGGCCAGAAGUGGCUAUGGCCCCCUAAUUCUCAUGAAUUCCAUUGAAGUUUUUAUAUAAAACUUGAAAAUCGGUAUGUAAUUUCAUAUCUUUUUAAACUAUUAGCCCUCCUAAUAUUUAGACUCUAGCUCCGCCAUCGGUCCUCCAAUCUCCAUAAAACUUCUUUGUCAUUUAACAUCUAUUAUAUGGUAACUCAGAAAAUUUGAACAAAUUAUGCUUCACCACUGCCUACAUCUAUAAUUUUGACAGAUUCUACGAUGAACUCACUGAACUUUAAAUAGUGACCUGGCAAAAAUAAUUUUUAUUAUAAAAAUAAUAGAAAAAGACAUACGAAUUUAUCAAGAAGCUGCUGCUGCUGCAUUGCAUGAACUUCUUUUUAAAUGGUCCAAAAGGUUUUCAUGUGAAAGAAAACUUUUGCAAGGUAGGCCGGCAACAACAUCUUUCAAGAUCGCCAUCUAUAUUGGGUUGACUUGACUUUAAUCUUUGUCGCUGUCCUCCAACUCUCACUCUCACAUGACAUACGUUGGACAAAAAAGUAUUGGCGGGAGGGACCCACUAUAUUUAUAUCUUUCCUUUUUCUCCCAAGACAAACAGUAAUGUUGUAUGUAGGGAUAUCUGUGGACCAUUUAUAACCUGAAUCUGAAAUCAGAAUCAAAUUUUGAAUUUGAAGCCUGGCCCAUGUAUUAUUCAACCAGCCCUUUCAUUUGCUUGCAUUUUCUUUUGGGCUCAGUUCAAAAGUUUCAACCAUGCAUGACGCAUGCACAAGUUCUGUAUUUCAUAUAAUAUAUUUUUCUUCUUCGGUAAGGUUGUACUUACCUUUCUAAUGUUGAAAGAGAUUCCAAAAUUCGAAUUCCUCAUCCUUAUAAUUUAUUUUAUUAAACAAAUGAUUUUAAUAAGUGUCGUGAAAAAAGAAAAGCAAAUUUUAUGUAAAUAUGCGAAUUGUCACGAUAGUCUUAUUCCUUUUUUUUACUUUAAUUCUAAAAAAAUUAUUGUUAUUUUUCAUGCUUCCAAAAGACAAUUAACCAUUUCCUCUUUAAUUCCUUCAGAAGACGAAAAUUAUGUGGAAAAUUUGUCACGCAUAAACUAAAUACUUUUAUAAAAUGAAAAUGGUAGGUCCAAUGGCCUUUAACCCACAACUUCUAAUCUCAUUCUUACACAUCUAGUUGUUUGUAUCUGGUUAGAUAAGGAUUUUAGUGCAUGGCUUUGAUUUUACUAUCACACCCCGGGCGCGGGUAGAGUAAAAUCCUCAAUAAAUAAAAGAAGAUUAAAGGAUCAACUCUUUUUAUUUAUUUAUGGAAUAUCAAGAAAAUUGAUCAUUUAGUAUUCUUUUAUUUAUUUACUUUAUUACGCACCGAGUUUGGAGCUUUACUCUAUUUCUAAGUUUGAGAUGUGACAUUUAUUGAUUCUGUAGAUGAGAUGACCAAAAUGACAAUAGAUCACUUGAUAAACUAGCUGAAAUGUUCAACAUAUUGACAAGUUGGGAAGGGCCCGUGACUGUGAUACCGCCGCCAAGCUGUUGUGUGUUAUUGGACCUUUUCUCCUGGACAGUGUCGUAUGAGUAUUAGGAAUAGGCGUGACUGUCACUUGCGCCUUGCUUCUUUUCCCUAUAUAAAAAUACGCGCAGAAUCAGUCAAUGCUCUUAGAGCGUGGGGUACACUAAUUCGGAAAGCGCAUGAGGUAGACUUCGAAGAAAACAACGUGCCUCUGUGCUACACGCAUACACCUAAUAUACAAGGUGAUUAUUAUUUUUAUCUCUAGAAAAUUCAAUUGAUUAUUUAAGAAACAAGAUUCUCAGCGUAUUAAUAAAUAAAAAAACAAGAUUCCAAUAAAUUUUUUUUAAAGAUAAAUUUAGUUAUAUACCCAUUUUCAGUCCUAUUAAAUUUAAUUUUAAAUUACUUUGAUGCCAUAUUAAGUGUUUUGUGUUUAUUUUUAUGAGGUUUUGGGGUUGAGUUUGUUUUAAAAAAUCGAUGACAGUUUUAUAAUUUAUAGGAAGUUCGAAGUCUAUUUGUUAUGUUGUAAAUCGGCUUUGGGUGUGUUUCUAAGUCUAUUUCAUGUAAGUUUUUAUUUUAUUUUAUAUAAAUUGAGCUCCUAUAUUGGGUGUAAUAGUGAAUCUUUAUUUUUUUAAUAGUUAAAUAUAUUCCUUAUUCCUUAUGUUCGACACGACAUUUUUCUAUAUUGGACAAGUUUUUUUUUUUUUUUUUUAAUAUACGAAUUAUAUUAGACAAGUUGAAAACCAUUAAGAUAUCUAAUUGUGAUCAACAAAUUUGAUAAACACAAUGCUUUCAAGAAAACACUAAAAUGACAAUCAUUGAUUGUGUAGCCAAAUAGUUUCAAAUUCAAGUAUUUUUUGCAGAGAUAAUCUUUGGAGGAACAUCUAAAAUAUACAUAGUUUGGGUCAUUGAAAUACAAUAAAGAAUGGCCUCGCAAGUAUGUACUUCAAAUAAAUUUAUUUGAGAGAUGUGUCAAUUGAAAACUACUCAUCUAUAAAUUGUCAAAUAAAGUAGGAUAAAUAUUCAGAUAUGCUCACCUAUGCUCAUAAACACUCAUCUUUUAUUCUUCUUCAAUAUGGAGGUAUUUAUAGAGAAAGUACAACCCUAAAUAAAAUAGAAAAUAAAUUCAAAUUACAAUAGAAAAUAAAUAUAAAUUACAAUAGGAAAUAAAUCUCAAUUAUAAUAGGACUAAAUAAAUGGGUAAGUAACCAAAAUCCUAACAUAGUAAGGAACCAAAAUGCUAACUAAGUAAGGACUCGCCAACACUCCCCUUCAAGUUAGGCAAAGAUAUUUCGCACGCCCAACUUGACAAGCGAGUCACAGAACAUCAUACUUGAGAAGCACCAAUUGUAGAGAAGGUCUUUUCGUCAACCACAAGUGAAACAAGUGACAAACUAAAGCAAAGUUCGCAGCGGAAACACAAGAGCAAACUCUAAAAAAUAGUGCACAUAGCAAAACAUAGAAACCCUGUGAGCACAGCAAUAGGUAAGGCAGAACACAGAAACUCUGUGAGGACGGCAGUGGAUAAGGCAGAACACAGAAAUCCUGUGAGCACGGUAGUUGAUAAGGCAGAACACAGAAACCCUGUGAGUACGGUAGUAGAUAAGGCAUAACACAGAAACCCUGUGAACACGGCAGUAAAUAAGGCAGAACACAGAAACCCUGUGAGCACGACAGCAAAUAAGGCAAAACACAGAAACCCUCGAAAAAAUAAGAUAAGGCAAGGUAAAGAAAGUCAAGAGUAAAGGCAAGGUCAACGGGUGUAACCACAACGAAAACACAACAGCAAAUACAUGAGCAACAAUAUAUACAUCCACGUGAUAUGCAUACAUUAUUUUGAAAAUUUAAAACUACCUAUAUAUGCGAGACACUCGAAAUAUUGCAAAUAUAACAAUAGAAAUUAAUAAAAUUACAUAAAAACGAUGAUGAAAAGUAGAGUAAAAGGGAUGAAAGUGUAUAGGUUAAAACAUGGUAGUACAACUACCACAUUACCUAUAAUUUUUAACUUAUUAUUCAAAUUAAGGAAAUAACAAAAAUACGGUUGAUAUAAUGUAGAUAUUUUAGGAAUAUCAAUAUGAAUCCACACAUUUAAAUAAUUAAUUUAAUCAACAAUUCAAAUUAACCGUCAAAUCAUAACAUACGUUAUAAUCGAAAAAUAACAUGUAAGAUUGUGUGACAAAAGUAUCAACAUAUCAAUUGUAAAUAACAAUUUACACAUCAUUUUAAGUAAAUGACACCCUAUUCUAAAAUUACCAUUUUGUCAGGGUUUAUAUAUCAAUUUGCAAAAGCACAAAUGGUGUCGUACAUGAGGACAAGCUUGGGUGUGCAGCCUGAGAAUCCUAAAAGGCCGAGCCCUGCUGUGCGGCACGGCUCGGACCACAAAGCGCCAAGGUGUUUCCUUUUCGCGCUCUCAGAUUCUAGCUGGCAGAGAUUCCCAGGCCCAUGUAAACAGUUUAAAGGGCAAAAAUGUCAUUCAACUACCUCUAUUUUCUUAAAUUAAACACUUGGGGAGCACAAAGUGCCAUUUACCAAAAAAUACGAAAUACGAAAAAUACAAAACCAGCCCCCAUUUUAAAUUACAUGGCCCUCACCCCCACACAGUCUUCCAACUUCCAUUCAACCCCAUAUCAGAAUUUUCCAUUGAUGCCCUUCAAGCCUCCGGUUAUUCACGCCGGUCCUACGUGGGUAUUUUGGUCAUUCAGUCGUUGUCCAGUGCCUUUUUCUUUUGUGUGCUCUGUGUAUCUGUGGUCUUGUUGGUUCUCUGCGGCCAUUCAUUCGCUGUUAUCAGGUGGUCAGGUGCUCUGCGUGCUUCUGCUCGAAGCAUAUACACACACACACACACACACACACAUACAUACAUACAUACAUACAUACUGUGCUCAAAAUCAAACCCCAAAAAAACCCACAAAAAAAAAUAAGGGUCUGUGACCUUACAUGGUCUUCUCUCUUGGUCGGCCAUGGUGGUGAUGGAGUUCAAAACCCUAGCAAUCAGAGCUCAAAAGCAGCAGCAGCUCUCCAUGUUGAGCCUCAGGUGCCUCCUCAACACUCUCUUCCACCAUUGUUUUGCUUUCGAUGUUUACAAUAACAUGUUUCCAAAAAUCUUUUUUCUAUUUUUGCUUCACUUUCUCAUCAUCGGCUCUGUCUUUUCCUUCUUUAUCUUUUGAUUGUUCAAAAAAUUUCAGCUUUUUGCCAUUUCUGGAGCUCUGAUUACUUUCUCGUUUCCAUUUCAGACGUUGUUUGGUUCCCUUUUUUUUUUUUUUUUUUUUUUUUCAUUCUUGUUUGUGUUAGGUGAUUCGAUGAAGUUUUUUUUGUUUUUGUUUUUGUAUUCUGAGUUAAGGUGUAGUCUGGGAUGAGUUUGAUUAAAAAAUUUAUCUAAGUGAUUUUAGAGCCAGAAUAGUUUACAUUUUUUCCCAUGCGUUUUGGUAUUAUGGUAGUUUUAGCUAUUAAUGGUGGAGAUAAUAAUUUUCCAAACUUGUUGGAACUAAUAAGUUUGCUGCUAAAUGUACUAACCCCAUGCUUUUGUUCAUUCAAUGUAUAUCACUAGCGCAAGGCAUGACUAAUGAUUGUUUGGAGCUUUAAAAGGAUGAAUUUUAGUUUUAUUAUCUACAAAAUUGGACGUAAUUUUUAUUUAUUUAAAAAAGGAAUUUCUGUUCUUGUUUUGGUAUUUUGUUUUGAGAAAGAGAGUAAUUUGGCCCAACAUAUUUGUAUGACUUUGACUCUGUUUGGCUGCUCGGAAAAUGUCUGUAAUGAAUGAAAAGAAAGAAGAAAGAAAGUAAACUAUGAUUGCUUGGCCCAACCACUUUUCCUAAUUUUCUUGUUGUCUUAGUUAUCUCGUUUUAUUUUCUGCAAUGAAAGUUUAAGCAGUUAAUGGUCUUGUUGCAUACCAAUUUAUCAAGUUUAGUAAACCUUUCUGACAUGUUAAAAUGUAGUGUUGUAAUGUUAUUUUCCUUGCGCAAUUGUUCAGGGGAUUGUCACAUCCAAUCAAAGCACUCCAUGUUCUUAUGGUUUUAGCAUGUACUCUUUUCUACCUCGCUACAUGUGGACAAUGCUCUGGGAAUGGGAUGCAAAUAUUAUCAGAAUAUGAUGCUUGUGGAUCAUAUGGAGAUAAUUUUGAUGUGGCUUUUGCGGAUAAUUUUCUUGGUGACAGCACUUUGGGCUGUGGAAUUCCAAGAAACCCCUUCAAUAUUGAUAAGAUUUGUACUAGCUCUCGUUUGUUCUGCUUUCCCUCUACAUUACCGGGUUUUUUGGAGCAUAAACUCAAAGUGGCUGAUUUAGAAGUUUCUGGGAGUCAGUCUGAUGAUCUGUCAUCUAUAGGAUCAACUGAAAAUAUCAAGUUGGCAAAUAACAAAAGCUGGUCAUCAGACAAUGGUAUGUUUAAGUUAUUUAAUGGAGGGAUUGUUUCUUGUUCUUUGAACUCCAAAGCGGCUACUAAUGAGUUUUCAUCCAUUCAAACUGAUAGUGCUAAUCCAAAUGAUCUUUCUUCCUGUAGAGGACCUUUACUUUAUCAGAAAAGCACAAGUUUUAGGCCGAACAAGAACACUGAGAUGACCAAAUCUAAUUCUUUCAGUAGUUCUUCCUCUCCCCAUGUAGAAAUUAGCCCUGCUGUAUUGGAUUGGGAACAAAAGAACAUGUAUUUUCCAUCAUUAGCUUUCUUAACUGUGGCAAAUACAUGCAAUGACAGCAUUUUACAUGUUUAUGAGCCAUUCAGUACUGACAUACAGUUCUAUCCUUGCAAUUUUAGUGAGGUUUUGUUAGGACCUGGUGAAACAGCUUCAAUUUGUUUUGUAUUUUUACCUAGAUGGCUGGGCUUGUCCUCUGCUCACCUCAUUUUGCAGACAAGCUCUGGUGGUUUCUUGAUUCAGGCGAAAGGUGUUGCCGUUGAGUCUCCUUAUGGAAUUCAUCCUUUAUUAGGCCUGGAUGUUUCCUCCAGGGGAAGGUGGAGUAAGAAUUUGUCUUUGUUUAAUUCCUUUGAUCAAAAUUUUCAUGUGGAGGAAGUAAGUGCAUGGAUGUCAGUGACUCUGGGGCAUACUUCCCAUUAUGCAGAGGCAAUAUGUAGUACUGAAAAACUUCAACCUUCCAAUGAACUUCAGUUUCUGAGUGUGAAAGAUCGUUUGGUUGUGAGUACUGGUCAAGUUGGUUUGCCUCUGCUGGCCAUGAGGCCUCUCAGGAAAUGGGAGAUUGAUCCACACAGCAGUGAAACUAUCAUAGAAAUAGACAUCUCAAUGGAAUCGAAAGGAAAAAUAUUUGGUGCAAUUUGUAUGCAGUUGCUAAGGUCUUCAGAGGACAAGUCUGAUACUGUUAUGCUUCCUUUUGAGGCUGAAUUGGAUGGAACAGCAAUGGAUGAUGAUCGUGGAGGACCCAUAUUAGCAUCUCUUGAGGUUUUGGAGUAUUCUUCCAAUGAAACUGCUGUUGCUAUAUCUCUGAAGAAUUGUGCUCCUUACCUUUUGAGAGUUCUUGAGAUUACUGAGGUUGCAGAUAGUAAAACCUUCCAGAUAAAAUACAGUCAAGACUUGUUACUUUUCCCAGGCAGUGACACAUAUGUUUCUGUGGUUACUUGUACUGAAAGAAAUGUCAAAUUAUAUGGACACUGUACAUUACUUAUAUUGACAAAUGACUCAACAAGCCCACAGAUUGAAAUUCCGUGCCAGGAUGUUAUUCAUUUAUGUUCAAGACAUUGGAAAGGUUCUACCACUGAAUUUGAACAUCAGUCAGAAAGGAGUGAAUCAGGUGAUAUGAACAGAGUGUCCUUUGACAGUGGCUUGCAGUGGCCAUCACAGAGGGUAAGCAGAUUCUUCCCCUAUAUAUAUAUAUUGUAUGUAUAUAUUUUAUACUCUGUGUAUGUGCGUGUAUGCAUUGUGAAUUGUGUUUGCAUUGGAUUGGCCUUUUGAUUUUUUUUUUUUAAAUUUAAAAAAAUACAAACGAUAGUCUAAACUACAAGGGGGAGGGGGUUUCUCACACACACACACACACACACACACACACACACACUACCAAUGUGCCAUGGGGUUUGGACCUAAGACCACUUGUCUGCAAGUCAAGGCCCUUUUCCACUGGGCUAGACCUCGUCGGCUGACCUUUUGUUACUUCAUAUGGUUAUUCAUCGGUUUUCGAGAAAGUGAUCAAGUAUUUUCCUCUCAUUUAUUAGGAUGAAACAUAUUCUUAGUUAUUUGUAAAAGUAAUCUUCAGGGAGUUGGAGUCGGCAGGUGUUCAUUGCUGAAAUCCGUAAAAAAAUAUGUGUUUGUCUGUAACAAUUUUAUUGACUAUUAAGGUACGGCAUGCGUUUAUCUGUGGCUGCAAUUGUGGUAUUUUUUUAGAAUUAUUUAGAUUUUUUUGUUGUGUGUUCAAGGUUAUUUACUCAUGAACUAUCUAUGACCAAUCAUGCUCUGUGAUAUUCUUCUCUCUAUAAACAUCAACAUCCACAAUAACCAAAAUAUUUUUUUGUGCUUGCACAUGAAGGCAACAGAGACAGCAGAAGCAGAUGAAUUGGUGCUGCAGAACUGGAAAUCUCAAGAUACCAGAAGUGGCAUGUCUGUGCUUGAUGAUCAUGAGGUAUUCUUCCCAAUGCUUCAGGUAGGAAGUCAUUACUCUAAGUGGAUCACUGUAAAGAAUCCUAGCCAAGAGCCUGUAGUGAUGCAGCUUAUACUGAACUCUGGGGAGAUUAUUGAUCAAUGCAAGACCCCAGGUGGUCUUAUACAGCCUCCUUCAUCUGGUAGUUUGGUUCGUAAUGAAUCCACUUCUCCCAGUAGGUAUGGGUUCUCAAUAGCAGAAAAUGCACUAACAGAGGCUUAUGUUCAACCAAAUGGUAGAGCAUCUCUUGGACCAGUAUUGUUUCACCCUUCCAGUCGAUGCAAGUGGAGAAGUUCAGCCCUCAUAAGAAACAAUCUUUCUGGCGUGGAGUGGUUAUCUCUGAGGGGAUUUGGAGGAUCACUUUCCUUGCUUCUGCUUGAAAAGUCUGAGGCUGUUCAGAGUGUAGAAUUCAACCUCAGCUUACCACUUCCUCUCAACAUUUCUCCUCCAGACAUGUUAUUUCACACGGAAGAUGCCACUCAUUCUUGUUUACGCCCAUUAGCAAAACAGCUCUAUGCUAAGAAUACAGGAGACUUGCCACUGGUGGUUAGAAGAAUCAAAGUGUCCGGAAAAGAGUGCGGGAUGGAUGGGUUUAUGGUACAAACUUGCAAAGGUUUUGCUCUUGAACCUGGAGAGUCAGCAAAGCUUCUGAUAUCAUACCAGACUGAUUUUUCUGCAGCCUUGGUACAACGGGAUCUUGAGCUGGCCUUUGAAACUGGUAUUCUGGUGAUACCCAUGAAGGCAAGCAUCCCUUUGCAGAUGAUCAAUAUAUGUAAGAAAUCAGUGUUCUGGAUGCGCGCUAAAAAGUACUCUGCAGCAGUACUACUUCUUAUAUCCUUGAUGUUUCUAGUAUUUUGGUAUAUAUUCCCCCAGGUGCUGGCCUUUUUCUCCCAUGAUUGUUUGUGGGUGAGCGGAAAAAGUUCCUUGGCUACUUCUACAAGUAGUUCAGAGAAAGUUUCUCAUGUGCAUAACUAUAGAGACAGUAAUUUUUCUGUGUCUGGUGAGAUAAACAGUUUGCUAAGAUCAGUUCGGGAAGAUAGAACCUUAAUGCAGGCAGUUGACCAGGCUGGGGCCUCAGAGCGGGAAAAAUUUGCUCAACAUGCAAAGCAAAUUCUACAAGGUCAUAGACAAACAAACUAUUUGUCAGAUACACGAAAGAAUAAAGCCAUGGCCUUCUCAUUGAUGUCUGAAUCGGUAUCAGUUGAGAAUUCUGACGACCUAGAAGCAUCCCAACCCGGUAACCUCACAGUCAAAACUGGAAAUGAAAAGGGAAGAAGGCGUAAGAAGAGAAAGGGUGCUGGUUCUAAGUUGACAGGACUUCUUGAAGUUUCAAGCAGUCAAAGUGGAAAUUCUACACCUUCAUCACCAUUGUCUCCAGUCACAUCUGUAACACCAAAACACAUGUGGCCACUAUCUCCCGAUCUGGGUCAAGCUGUUGAGGCCAGGAAUCCAUUUACUCAAGUAGCUCACCAACGCUGCCAGAAGAGUCCUGUCUUUAAAUCGGCCUCCAAGGCAAACUUAUCAUCAGGGCCUGAGGUUUCUUUGAAGAAUUUCAGUAACCACCAAACUUUUCCUUCUCAAGAGCAGCCUUCACCACCAAGAAAAGCUGCUGCCAGACCUGUUUUGUUGCCGUCUGCCACCUUUCCUUGCGCUGGAAGGCCUGCUCCUAAUGCGGUCUGCACUUCCCCUUUUCCGGCUUCAACCUCGGCUAUUUCUCCACUUGCUAGAGCCCCUGGGUCCAAACUCUAUGAGCAGAAAAAUGUUAGAGAAGAACGAAAGUCUCGGUUUGGGGAUGAAUAUAGAUAUGAUAUAUGGGGUGACCAUUUUCCUAGGCUUAAGUUGACUACGACAAACAAUGUUACUUCAAUGAUCUCCAGCACUUCAGAGAGCGAGAGCGACUCUAAUAGCUUCUUUGUAAAGGGUCCGCAAACCCUCAUGACAAGGUCUCCACCAAGAUCUGUAAGUUUUUUCCAUCAAGAUGGUUAAUGAUAAAAAAGAAAAACUAAAUAAUUUAUCAUGUUUCUCUGCUGCCAGCCAUCAUCAUUGUCAUCUGUAAAUAAGAAACUGAAAAAAGUAGCGUCUGCUGUAAAUUGAAUAGCUUAAUAUCAAAAAGAAAAAAAGGAAAAAAGUUCAGAGAAAAUAAACACUAACAAUGAGGUAAAGAUCAAAAGGGAUCAUCAAAUUGUUCUAUAAACUUCCUUUUCAAAAAUAAUAACAAUAUUUUACUUAAUGGGCUUCACUUUAUUGAAGUGGAUGCCUUAGAUUUUCCACUGCUCACUUCCUUUCACGAAAAUGCUACAACGGGGAGUUUAGAGUGAGGAGUUUAUUUUGGGGUUCAAUUCCACCAUCAACAAAUGUGAGGAAAUUAAUGAACUUAAAUAUUUUAAAUGAUUUGAUAAUAAGAUUAACCCCUCAAAUAAGCUUCUCACUCUAAACUCAUCCUUCCCUUUCGGUCCUUGGAUUUCUAUAUAAAUUGAAAAAGCCUAGCCCAAUAUAAUAAUUUCCUGGAUCAUAUUUGUACAACUUGGUCAACAAUCUGAGCUCUGAUAUUGCACAUUUGGCACCAACCCAACCCAACAAAGAUUGUUUUUUUUCUUUUUCAAAACAAAGAUUGGUAUAUGGACAAUGAUGAAAAUACAAUAUGAAAACUCCCAAUAAAUCUAAGCAGUACAUUUUCUGCUGGCCGUUACUUUUUAUUCCCUCGUCUUCAACCAGUCUUGUGAAAUUGACCAAAAGUUGAAUCCCCUACUGGAUUAAUUUGUCCAUUUUUAUGUCCUGGAGCGAACCGUCUAAUCACUUGUCCAUGCAUGCCCCAUUUACACACACGCAUGCAACAAGCACAGUUUUGGCAGCCAUUUUGGGUAUGAAGAUUGCAACUUUACAGUGUUGUCAUGGCUGCCUGAGUCCACUGUACUGCAUGCAUUACUGUACUUCUUAAUAAAAAUGAGAGGACAGGUAUAGAUUAGAUGGACUUUUAGUGCAUGGAUAGCCGUGAUGGCGACGGUAGAGACGAUCGCGCAUGCGUCUUCUGAGGAAGAUAGAGCCAUAAAAGAAAAGAUGAUCGUAUUGCAAAAACUGAUUCAUAUGGAUAGAGACUUUCUGGGACCAUUAUUUUGGUCACAGAGCUGGCAUUACCCUUAUUUGUCAUAAAGCUAGCAUUACUACAUGCAACUAAACAGUGACCUUGCUCAGCUGCCACUAAAUCUUCAACAUGGCCAUUGGUAAAAUGUGUAAAAACAUCGGAAUUUACUUGGUACGUGUAGUUUUCAGGUGAUUGCAUCCACCCUUAAUAUUCGUCAAAAGACCUUUUAUCCGAUGAGAGUGGAUCGAGAACGUUUUCAUCACAACCCCCACCCCACCAAAAAAAAGCCUCUCUCUUACAAGCUAAUUGAUAAAAGGGUUAGGGGAUCAGAUGCUCUACCAUAAAGCUUUGCUCUCUCAUUCAAUCCAUUAGUUGGUCUUGGCAGAAGGGUAGUGCAUAAAAGUGGUCCAAUAAAUGGACCACAGCUACAGUAUUGAGAUAGCUAACCUUCUGUAAUAACUUCAUGCAAAUGUAAUCUUAAUUAAGUUGACUUUUAAUGGUCUCUAAUAUAUGCUUAAGCUAAAUAUAUGAAGCUUGCAACAAUCCAAAAGGCAUUUAAUCAAUCGGAGAUUUGUAGUUUUUCCUACCUAGAUCAGGUAUCUAUGUAAACAUAGUGAAAGUUGAUUAGACUUCCCAACUUGAAUUAGGGCUAAAUUUACACAAAUAGAAGUCCAAAAUUUUGCUUAUUUAACAAUCUAGUAUGAAAGAUUCUAUGAAUUUUGCUUAUUUAACAAUCUAGUAUGUUAUGUUGCUAGAUUGUCAAUGUACGUAAUAGAAAAAUUGUAUAAAUUUUCACUCGAAAUAAAAUAAAUCUUUUCAAUUCUUAAUAUAAGUCUCGAUGUGAUCUUUUAAAUAUUAUGAAUUGUUUUAAGUUAAAAUUUUCUUCUCAGAACAAUUGAGCAAGAUGAAGAAACUUUGUGUACCAAAGACUGAAAAGUAUAGCUAGAUUGAAUCAUAUGAAAUCAAACAUGCCACACAAAAGCAACUUCAUAUUUGUUUCGGUAAAAUGAUUAUUUAAUUCUCGAAGCCCUUUCUAAAACCAAACAUUCAAAUUCAAAUGCCCUGAAAUUGUAAUAUUUAAAACUUGUAUCAAAUAUUAAAUAAAAAAAGAAAGAAAGAAGUGGAAAAUGUCCAGUAAGAAGUGAGAACUGGUGUGAGUGGCUGUCCCUCCACUAGAUAGAGUGGUUGAGCCACUGAGCUCACAUUGGAUGGUGUAUCCUCUUCGAUCAGCCACGAGCCCUAGUCCCCAAAAAUCUACAGCAAAGCCAUUUGCGUUUGCAUAAAGAAACAAAGGCCUCAAAACCAAUCAAGCCAAGACUAACAAAUGUCGCCAAGGAAAAAGGGAGAUUAAUAUAUGACAAAAAAGUUUUUAUUUUUUUGGUUAAAUAGUUUUCAAAUGUUCGAUAUAAUAUUGUACCCAAUGAGGACAAGGACCACUACUAUUCCCGAUUGAUAACAACUUUUGGUUUCAAUUUUUUUUUAAAUUUUUUUUUAUUAAUCAUAUGGUUUUAGUACUACAAAAUCAAAGCUUUCCUAACUAAGCCCCACAAGAAGGAAGUUGUUAGUUGCCACAGAAAUGGAUGUUGGUUUAGAUGAGCUUUCUCGAAUAGUCAAUUUCUUAUUUGGAUCUGUCUUCCAUUGCCUAGUUCUCCUUAGUGUAACAAGUGACAACAAUCAAAAUCAAUUAAAAUCUUUGUAUGAAUUUUUUUUUUUUGGGAUUUUCGCUCUAUCUUUAAAUAAAAUUCAUUUGAAAAGUUACAUGAUCAUCAAAUACAAAUAGUCAAAUAUACUCAUCAACUUAUUAAUCCACUCAUAUUAUAACAUGUUUGUAUAUUCGUUAUGGCGACAGAGAAAAAUUUCUCGUGAAAUACAUAUGAUAUAUGACAUUCGUUUUCAUCAUGUAUCUUCUUAAGUUGUGUUCUUUCUUAAAAUAAAUAAAUAAAUAGAAUCAAUUAUCUACAUAUAUACAAUGGUGGCAGUCGGUGAGUCCCAAGAUGAAAUCUAGAAUUGAAAUCUCACCAGUGAGUGGAGAAGAAGGGAUUAGAGAAAGCUUAUCUGCAUGUGCUGCUGUUUUUGCCCUUUUUUCCUCAGUCUGCAUCAGUAUCUUCAGCAUUGUUUCCACUUUCUUUUUCGGCUUUCCGCGACCUCAUCUCUAUCUUUCACAGUUACACUACAAUGUCUACAUAUGUACUGCUUAGCCCCAAAUUUUUUGGUGGGUCUUGGCCUCCCCUAUAUUUGGGACCGCUAAAAAGAAGGGCCACCUAAUUAGGACCAUCUCUUGAAAAUCUUUUGGGAGGCAUUGGAAAAGACCAAAUGAGAGAGAAAUUUUUUAAAAGAAGCCAAAAUGAACAAAAUUACCCUUAUUUAUUUUUGGAUUUUCUAAAGAAUCCUUUACAUUUGCAUGUCUUUGUUUUGAAAGUUGAGAGGUUUUUCUGUCUUUUUUAAAAAAGCUUUGGCUUUUUCCAAAAGUGAAAGUUUUUUUGUGGCUAAAACCUAAAUUUACUAAAUCUCUUAAUUUGUGUUACUACUUUAAGGUAAAGAAUUGUACCAUAUGUCAUCAAUUUUCAACCCUAAUAUCAUAAAGCUGCACAUCAUGUCAUAUACAUACUAUCUUGCUAUAUGUUUGUGUGAGUUUUCCUUUCCUUUUUUUUUUUUGACGAAAAAAAUAAUAAUAUUGUAUUAUAAUAUGUAUCACAUGUUACACAACUCUAAAUAACAAUCUAAUUAAUCACUCCAAGAUGUUUAAUUUAGACCCAUUUUCCAAAAAAUUAUUUUCUUUUCUUCUUGUUAGAGUGUAGGAAUGAAAAAAUAAAAGAGGAAUUAAAUUGUUGAAGCAAAUAAUCUAGCGUUUGGUAGAUUCUAAUUAAAACUAGCUGCAUGCACAUUAGUAAACGUGGGGCAAUCAUCAUUGCGUUUUAAUGAAUGAUUUGGCAGAUGUUUAGACAUUCCCACUUUAAUUGAAUAUGACAUGCCACCAUAUAUGUGUUAAGGUCCGGUAAAAGCGAAUGCCUAUUGGGUCUCUUGCUAAAUUAUAUAUACAAGAUAAUUAUGGGGCCCUACGGCCCCUACCUAUAUUACCAAAUAUUUUGGGAAUAAUAUUAAUGAAGAAGUCAUGGCCAAUUUCUAGGGGUUUUUCUUUUCGUUUACAUUUAUUUUAGUUGUUCAUAGUUGACAUAUACACUUAUGAAUUAGACUCUAUCUACACACACAAAAUCAAAGGAGAUAAGGUUGGUGAGGGCUGAUGAUUAGGAAGGUACAACUAUUUCAAUGACAUAGACUUACCAUUCAACAUGUCCCCCGUUAAACGAAGCGGACAAAUAGUCAUAACUUCUUAUCAGCUAUGAUUAUAAUAGGGUGACGAUUUUCACGCUCGCAUUUUGUUUAUUCAAUUACCAAAAUACAAAAAUAACAGAGAUGGAAUUGCAAUAUUGCAAAUCUGCCACCCUAAUAAAAUAAACUAAGAACUGCGAAGGUUCCACCGCAGACAUCAAAAUUAGAAUGGUUAGGGAGGCUUGAUCUAUUUGUAAGUUAUAAAAAUGUUGGUUACAUUACAUGCAUGAAAAGUAAAACAUGUUUAAUGCUUUGAUUAAGAAAAUGAUUCGUUAAAUUGUGAGAAAUUUCAUGAGACAAGGUUUGCUUUUCGCCCGACAAAAAAAGUUUACAGAAUGAUGUUGAAUGAGUAGGUGGAUCGAUCGAGCUCAGCGCAUGAGACUGAGAGAGACUGAAAGACUCAGAGGCAUGCUUGCUCGAACAGCCAUGCACAUGUAUAAAUGUAGAUGAAUUAUGAAGUGCACGCUCACGUGCCUCUGCUAAUAAAAAAUGCAAAUGAAUCAUUGAGGCCAUGUACCUAAUCUUGAUUUUUCGAUCAUGUCCUAUUAUAUAUAUCAUGCAUGUUUAUAAUAUUAUAUAUUUAUAAAACUAUAUAGUCUUUAUAAUAUAUGUCACAGUGCAUCGGGAAUGUCUCUCAAAGUCUACUUUUGAUGCUAUUCUUGUGAUGCCUUCAAAGAAUGGAUGGCUACUUUUGUGUUGUCUUUAAUUUCUUGCUGUCCAUCCAGUGAGAAUGUGAUUUAUUGGUGGGUUCUGAUUUUUUUUUAUUUAAAAAAAGGCUUUUUACUGUUUUUCCUUUUGUGCUUCGGCUAGAAUCUCAAAUUUUCUUUUGAAUUUGUAAUUGGGUUAAUGCGUAUAUGUCACAUCAGCAAAUUAAUAAAUUUUUUUUGAAACUUAAUGGAAUAAGAGAACGUGGGACACGAAAUGAAAGUAUAUGAAACAUGAAAUGAAAAUAUAUGGGCACAUUGAUCCAAUUACAAGUUCAUAAGGGGAAGUGGAGAUUUGAAGCAAAGCACAAAGGGGAAAACAAUAAAUAAACCUUUUGUUUAAUUUUGUUUGUUUGUUUAUUUAGUUAUUUCUGAACAAAUGUUGUGAUGCAAUAUGUUUUGAAGUGACUAAUUGUUCUUAUCAGUACCUAUUAGCUAGAUGUGGUCUUAAUUGUGAAUAAUUAGUAUAAAUUUUGAUUGAUGCAUUUCUAUAUUAUACCCCCACAUUUUCGUUCAUGGACAUGUCAUUUUUUUCCAUGACCAAUGGUCCAAUCUAAGACCAACCAUUUUGGUGCUCACGGCUACGGAUCCCAGAUUUUAAUUGACUUAUUAUUCAUAAAAAUGUCCAUCAAUCACAAUAUGUUCCUUGUGCACAUUGAAUUGAAUACUUGCUUGAAUAUGAAGCAAGGAACAUUAAUUUCAUAACAUUAUUUGGAUUAAUCACGUAUUUCUACUUGAUUUUAGCAAUUAAUAAAUUCAUCAUUGAAGUAGUUUGCGGAGUACGUUGAUGGUUUUAUUUGGUCUCUUGUCUCUAUGUUCCCGAUGCCCCUAACAAUAAUUUUGAUUUAACCACAUUGGAUAUAUAUUACAAUAAGAUGAAAGAGAGAGAGAGAAGAGUCAUUAAAUGAGAACAUUUUUUCUCAUUAUCUGUGGAGAGGAUUAUCACAACGUUAUUUGUUGCUGGAUAUGCUAUACAAAUUCAAAAAUUAAACUUAUUCAACGACAAUAAACAUGGUGAUAAUGUUCAAAACUAACUGAAGGGUGGUGAACACAAAUAUUCUUAUGAUUAAAAUGGCUUGUGUGGGGAGUACUUAUCUAUUUUGCAUGAACAACUUUUACUCACUAAUGUUUUUGUUACUUGUCAAUAAAUCGUUUUUAUUAAAGUAAAUAUGUUAAAAAAGAACUCAUUAAAAAUCCAAGUACUUCGCGCACAUUAAUUUUUGGGACAAAUUAAAGUCAUAAAUGUGAAUAUCAUGCAAAGUAGUUGUUAUAAAAGUGCGACUCUCAAAUAUUACAAUUCACAGUGUAUAUAUGAUUAUUUGAAUAAAAUAAAAAAUCUUCGGUAAUGACAAAGUAAAUGAAUUUUCUGCAAAAUGAGGUGUGAAGGUGUACUUUGUCUAGUAUGAUGGGGAAGUUAACAACUGGCUUUCUCCAUCAUUAAUUACCACGUUUGCUUUUGCUUACUUCAAAAGGCAUUUAGCUAAAAUCCAUUUAUUGUGCAAUCAAUAAAUCUUUCAGCACAUUAACAGAUAAAUAAAUCUUUCGGUACCUAAUGAUCUGCUUCUCAUUAUGAGUAGUUUAGAUCAAGAAAUUGAUGUUUAUGGUCCCCCAUACUUGCUAACUUGGCACUUACAUUUGCAGAGGAGGUUAGUUGUCCUCACAAGUGCAGGACAACUUUCUCAAGUUAUUCUGUCUAAGAUUUACACCGAGGGCUCUCUUGUCUCUGAAAUUCGAUUGUGAGAUUGUCAAUUUGGACUAUGCAUUGUUGAGACUUAUCGAUAUUAAGUUUAUGAACCUACUUAAUAGUAAAUAUGCGUAUGAAAAUCGGUUGCGAGACUCUCGAUUUAGAUAAAAUAUCAUUCAAUAUUAUACUAUUGCCUUGUUGAACCUAUCCAUUAUUGUAAUUACCUUCUUGAAUUUACAUAACAGUAAAUAUGCGUGUAUAAAAAUUGGUUGCGAGAUUGUGAAUUUGAACCAUACAUCAUUAAAAAUUAUUAGUUUUACCUUGUUGAACCUACACAAUAUUGUAAAUAUCAUAUUUUAUGUUUAAAAAUGUUUGCUCCCAUAUAUUCUACCUCCAAAUUGCAAUAUGCCCUUUUAUAAUCAUAAUUAUUCUAAAAUGAUAUGGUAAAUGAAAGGAAAUAUCAUUCAUAAACAUCCUAUUAGGAGACAGGUUUUGAAAGACAACAGGACUGCCUUGGGAGAUUCAUUCAUACAAUUAGUUGUAAAUUGUAAAUUAAUUAAAUAAAACCAAUGUUAAAGAAUUAAGUGCAGAAAGGAAUCCGAAGAGAGAAGAUGCAAAAAGGAACGCCCAAUAAUAAAAGAGAGAAAAAAAGGUAAAAAGAAGAUUGGUUGGUCUUGAAUUAUGAUAAGUAGUAGAGGGAAUCAAAAGAGGGAAUGUGAGUGCUGUGUGUGUGCAUGUUAAUUCAUAAUGAGAGAAUUGGGUUGUCACACACAAAAGGGCUAAAAGUUGCAACUUGCACCACUCAAUCACAUUCCUGUUUCUCUUGCCAGGUCACUCUCUCUCUCUCUCUCUCUCUCUCUCUCUCUCUCACUUGGGUUGGAGCACAGUCACACCAAGUAGUCAGUACAAGAAGAAGAAGAAGCCCUAAAGUUUUGAAGGAGUGGGAGAGAGAGGGUGUGUGUUUUUAGUGCAUGUCUCUAUCUCUCUCUAACUUUCAUGUUUGUUAGUUUAAAGAAAGAUUGAACAAAUAAUAAUUAGUAGCUAAUAAUAUAUACAUUGUUGCAAUUAAAACUUUGGCUUGGCCUUGGCCCUGAUUGUUGUUUGCAAUAUAAUAAUAGCAGAAACACACUGCACAGUUGGGUUCUUUGUCCAUCUGCUAUAGGGGUGGGCAUAAAAACCGAUAAACCGAUCAAACCGACCGAACCAAACCAAACCAAACCGAAAAAUAAGGUUUUUUUGACCAAACCGAAAAAGUCAACGCUGGACCUGAACCGAACCGUUGACUUCGGUUCAGGCUUCGGGUCUAAAUUUUUUUGAACCGUUGGACCUGAACCGAACCGACCAUUAUUUAAUUAUAUAUGCAUUUGACACAUGGCGUUGUCUCAUUGGCUUAAAUAAGAACUUUGGGUGGGUCUGCUUGCACUAUAUUAGAACCUCUCUCAAUUAUUUGUUUAUUAUUUUUUCAAUAACCCUAUCAGACUCUCUCUCACACUCACUCGGCCGUCUCUCUCUCUCUCUCUCACUCACUCACUCACUCACGAAACGAAACCCUAUUUCUCUCCCGAUCUGAGACUAACCCUCACCUCAUCGGCCGCCGUCGGUGCGCGCUCUCUGUCUCUCUCUCGACUCGUCCCUUGGCUCUCUCCCACUCUUCACAUCUUUAAGUCUCUUAGAGUCGCGCGAGACUCAUUCUCUUUCUCCAAACCAAACCAAACAUCAUCCAAUUUUAUUGGUUUUUGGAGCGAAUCCUUGUAAAUUCUGGAGGGCUCUGGUUCAUUCUAAGGUAAUUUGUAUGUAUUUGGUUUGAAUUCUUAGUUGUUUUCAUUUUCCCUAAUUUAGUAGAUUAUUAGGGUUUUGAAAUUUUGGUAUUCUGUUGUAAUUAACACAAUUUGUUCUUAAUUUUGCAGUAGUUGUGCUUAGUCUCUGUGGGUUUGGAUUAAUAGGCAAAAUUGAAGGUAUAAAUAUUUCUGUCUCAAUCUCUAUGGGAUACGAUUUAUUGCAUCACAUGACUCCCAGACCAUACUUUAUGAUUUGUAUAAUCUUUACAUAGAGAGACUCGUACACCUCCAUCAUCUUUACAUGACAGUUUUUUGUUUCCCAUACUCAAUUUCAUACUUUUGUUCGCAGGCAUUCUCUUAUUAUCCCAAAAUCUCAUUUUUGUUCGUUGAAAGCCACACCCCCAGAUGUAAGUAUAUCCUAUUGAUACAAUCAGUUUGCAAUGGGUCUGUAUGAAUGUCAUGAAUCUAUUGCUAGAUAUUAUGAAAUAUGAGUAUUGAUUGCCUUCAUAUGUUAUGCAUUAGAUGAUAUUGAUGAGAAGAAUUUCUUGAUAUGCAUAUGGACUAGAGUUUAUGAUCUGGGUUCUUCUCCCAAAAGUUUGAUUACAAACCCUUGGCUGUCUGAGCACUCUUAAUCUGUUUUCUAUUAUCUUCCAAUCUGUAGUUUUGCAAAACCCAUAAAAAAUUUCUCAAAUUUAUUGGCUUUUUUUUUGCUGUAAAAUUGUUCUUGUUUGGUAGGGUUUAUAUGGCAGUAUGGAGCUUAUGAUGAUAAUUUUUAAAUAUCUUAGCGGAUUUCAGUGAGACCUUAGGGUGAAUGAUCUGAUUGUUACACACACUGAGGCUCAAAUUUUAAUUAUUUUUCCUUCAAAUUUUCACAGUAGUUUUGGUUUGGUUUAAAGCGUGCAAAUCUUGAUUUGUUGGGUUGUGGUUUGCGAUGAUGAGAUGAAACACUGGACGUGUUUUGGGCAGUGGACAAGCUCAUUUGGUAUUCUUUAUUCUUUGAUUACAAUUGGACGUGAUUCCAUUACAUUCAUUAAGCAACGAAACCCUGAAAGGAUCUCUCUCCCUCUCUGUAUUCUUUGAUUCAUUUGGUAGAAACCCGUUCGUUUUUAGAGGCAAAAGAAGCAUUGUGAAGUGGGCAUAAGGUAGAAACCCGUUUGUUUUUCAAAGGUUUAGAUUCUGUCAUUUUGUGCAGAACUAAUCAUUUCCUGCUCUGAUAUUCUAUAGUUGUGAUAUUUGAUCAGGAUGCAGGUUUGACACUUUGUCGAAUUGGAACAAUGAUGAUGGAGAAGCCAUGGGAGCUGCAAAACAUGUUUUGUUUGCAGCUCUAUAAGUAUAUUUGAAUCCGAUUAUUUUCUUAUUUUUAUGUGUUCUAACUCAAAUUGGUUUGAUUUAUUUUAUUAUAUUUUGUAGAAAUGGGGAGUAAAACAUCCAUGACAAAUUUGAAUAAGACUCUCCCUUCUUAGUGUGAUUAAGAUAUGUUGGAAGGUAUUUUUAUUGCAUCUUAUUUUAAUUAUGAUUUGUUGAUGGUGAAACUUUGUGUUAAAAAGUGUUGUGUAGGUUGCUUUGUGAAGGCUUUUGGAAGAAUGGAUGCAGCAGAUUUUUUGCAAGGAUAUUAUCUCUAUGUGUAUUUUUGUGAUGGGUUGUAAUCUUUAAUGUCAUAAGUUUAAUUUGGUUUGUGUAUUAUUUUUUGUAAUGGUUUGUAAGAGAUUAUAUUUCCUUUCCUUGGUUGGUUGGUUGAAUUGAAUGUGUGUAUGUGAGAUUUAUUUAGUUUAGAAACUUAGAUUGGAAUGAUGGAUUUUUAUAGCUUGAAUUUACAUAA